rnacentral:lncRNA from 1 species
AGCAGAGAAAGUUGGCUUGAAGCCAAGCAAACUUUUGCUUGAGAUGAGCAUUGCCUAGUAAGAUUGUUUCGAUUCAUCGAUUAUUACUGAUCAUCAUACUUCUCUUGUCUUAUAUUCAUGUGAUUAUUUUACAUUGAUUGUGGGGUUGCUUUGGUUUGGUUAUUAUGGCUUCAUCCUCUAUUUCUUUAGUUUUAUUCAAGGAUAAAUCUAAUUGUGCUUUGAUUAGUUAUUCCAUAUUUGAAAAUCUUUGUGUAUUUUGGGUUUUUUCUCUUUAGAUAUUUUCUAGAUUAAUCCACUGACCUUUAAACCCACAAAUAAAGAAAAAUGAAAUGAGUUUUUUCAUAUUUGUUGGGUGUUUGGCCCUUGUUUAUCUUUUUUUAAAGCUUUAUUCCUUUAUAUUCUCUAUUUCUCCCCAUUUUGUACAUGGGUGUUUCAAUCAGAGUCUCUAUUUUGGCUUCCACAUUUGAGAUUUCUUUUAUGAGCGAAGACCCAAAAAUGGAGACUGGCUUCUUGUAAUUGAUAAAAUAGUUAGUCACCCAUUAGCUUAGAUGAAGCAUAGAUGUUAACCGGAUUGUGAACAUGGAUACUCUAUUUUGGGCCUAUUAGGCCUUCCAAUCCUCUCUUAGUUUCAUUAUUCUUGAGGAUAGUGUUUGGUUGUGUCUGCUACUUAUUCUGUGGCUUCGGUGGUCUGUUUGUUUAUUCUUGGCUAUUAUCAAUGCUAACAAUGGGAAAGAGACUGGUUUUGGUUAUGCUCUUACGGAUUUGAAGGUGAUCAAAGGGUCCAGUGAAGAGAAGAUUAGUAGGUCAUAUUAGGUUAAUUAAUUAAUUAGGACAUGUUUUGAGUUAUAUUAAGUAAUACAAGCUCUUAGUGGGCUUAAGUAACUUAAGCCUAGUGGGGAAUGCCAUAAAUACCCCUUAGGGGUUAGCAUUUCCAUAGGUUUUUCUAGAGAGUCAUCUUUCACCUCCAAAGAAGGAGAGUCAUAGCCUUUACCAUUUUUUCCAUCAUUAUCGAAGUGUGUCAAGAUUAAGGUUUAAGUCAUUGAGCGGAAGACUCCAGGUUUAUGAGACUUCAUACAACUUCGUUUUUCAUUUUCAUCAAAUGGAAUUAAUUUGAAAACAUUUGAAUCUGAAGUAUGGUUUUUGUUAGCAUAUUUCGAAUCCCUUUAAAGUUUAAAAAUGCAAAUUUUCCACUAUGUAUAGGAUUUAAAAUCGCUUAAGAUAGUUAAACAUGUUCCCCACUUGAUCUGAAUUGGGAAACGGAGAAAUCUGAUAUUUUCCCAUCACAAGGUAGGAUAAGAACUUGUGAUUGAUCUUUAUGGAUUGGACUAAUUAAUUAAUUGGAACCUAAUUAGGCUAAUUAAUUAAUUAAGACCUAAGCAAACUAGUUUAAGUUACACAAGCCUAGGAUGGACUUAAGUGACUUAAGCCCAUGGGAAGCUUAUAUAAACUCCUUUAGGGGUUAGGGUUUCAAACUUUUAUCAUCUAGUCUUCAAUUCCUUAAAGAGAAUAGAACUCGAGCCAACAACUCUCCUAAAGGAUUCUAUUGCUCCGUGUCAAGAUUCGAAAAAAAACUAUUUGAUGGAAGGUUGUUAUGUUUAUGAGAUUCGUUAUGUUUUUUUACACCUUUUCACUAAAUGGAAUUGAUAUAGGAAUGUUCAUAUCUCAAGUGCAACACACUUAUUCUCUUUAGAUUUAUAUUGCUUAUGGUUUUUUUUUUUUUUGUCAUGGUUUUCCGUUAAGAUUAGAUUAAGAGAGCCCUAUGUCAUAGAAUGCUUCAAAUGAGCCUCCCCGGGGGUUUGUAUAGAGCCCAUGAAGCUUCUAGAGACUCCUAUACUUAGCCAUUGGUGGGAAGAGUGUGAAAGGUUCUACAGAUGUCUAGAGAUAUUUACACAUCUCUACACUAUGGUGGAAGGCAUGAGAGGAGUCUAAGGCAUUCUAAAGAAUUAUAAAGAUCUCUUAUAUAUUCUUGUACAUAGGCUUGUACAUAGAAUUGUGUAGGAAGUUAUAGAUUAUUCUUGAGCUGUAAGGAACCCUCCAAGGUUCCAGAGAGUUCCAUUGGUGCCUAUAAAUAGGUGAAUGCCUCAUUUGGCCAAGACACUAAGCAAGUGAAUUCCAAAACACUUGUAAAGCUUCCUUUGAAUAAUAAAAGUUUCAAUUCUUCAAGAGUUGCCUAUUAUGCCUUCUAAAACUUCUAAGUCAUGAGCAUCUUAACCUAACAAGUUAAGCAUUGGGAGUAAUGCUAACUUAGCAAGAUCAAGGAUCUUGACUUGUCUAAGUGUUGCACGAUCUUAGGAAAAGAUUAAGUUUGUGACAGUUGGUUUCAAAGUGUGACUACGAAGUGAGCAUAGUAAAGGAAACAUGUCGAGCUUCAACAUGGAGGAAACUAGUGAGCAAACCCGUGGGAAAGAAACCGAGCCUACUGCAUAGGACAGGGACAUGAAGGAUAAAUCUCGUAAUGCCAUAGCCAACGUGGAGGCAAGGCUAGCCAAGGUGGAGCUAGCCAUGGCAGACACCCGGGAAGGGGUGGACUUAAUCGAGCAAGGCAUGGAAAAUGGCUUAGAGGAUCUAAAUGAGCAUAUCCAAGACCUUCAUGAGAGAGUGCUAGGCUUACAAGUUCGGCCGAUGUCAUAUGAGGAGUUCAUGUCCUUCCAAAACGAGGUCAUGAGCAUGUUUGCUAGCAUGGAGUCGAAGGUGGAGGCCUUGGCUGCACGCAUAGAGGCCCAAGACCAAGAGGUUCAACAAGAGCUAGCUAUCUACAAGACUGUCUUAUCAGCACGAGUCAUGGCCACUCAUGAGGCACUAAGGGUGGAAGUGCCCAAACCACACACGUUCAAUGGCAAGAGGGAUGCCAAGGAGUUGGACAAUUUCUUGUGGCACAUGGAGCUCUACUUUGAGGUUAUAACACUAAUAGAUGAAGCCACUAAGGUAUGUACCACAACCCUCUACCUCACCAAUAAAGCUACUCUAUGGUGGCGUCAGAGGUUUGCCAAUAUAGAAAAAGAAAUGUGCACCAUAGACACAUGGGAUGCCUUUAAGCAAAAGAUCAAAAAACAAUUAUACCUUAAUGAUGUGGCUUACCUAGCAAGGAAAAACACAAAAUGUCUUAAGCACACAGACUCGAUCCGUGAGUAUGUCAAAGAAUUCUCUACACUUAUGCUUGAGAUACCCAACAUGUCUGAGGAAAAGCUACUAUUCAACUUCAUGGACAACUUGCAAAGCUGGGCCGAGCAAGAGUUAAGGAGAAGUGGUGUCCAAGACCUAGCCACGGCCAUGGCGGUAGCGAAGUCCUUGGUGGAAUACAAAAAGGGAGACUCUUUUAAGCCCAAGCCACAGUCUAAGGGUAAUCAUGCUAAAGGUGGGGAAACAAGGGAUCAAGGAGGUACACUCCUAAGGAAUGAUCAAGCAAGACCUCUGGUGGCAAGGAUGGUAAGGGUAAGGAUAAACGGAAAUAGUUCACGCCUAAGAUCAAUUGCUUCCUAUGUGAUGGUCCACAUUGGGCGCGAGACUACCUCAAAAGAAAAGCCCUAAAUGCCAUGAUCGAGGAAAAGUAGAAGGAAGACAAUGCUCAUGUGGGAUCAUUACAACUCUUAAAUGAUAUCAAGGCUAAGUCAGUGCUUAAGACACCUCAAAGUAAAAGUCUAAUGUACAUAGAAGCCCUUGUAAAUAGGAAGGCUACCAAGGCUUUGGUGGACACUAGUGUCACUCAUAACUUUGUCUCGAAGGAUAAGACAAAGAACUUAGAGCUCCAAGCAUCUAAGGAAGGAGGUUGGCUCAAGGCAAUUAAUUAAGUUUCCAAGCCAUCACACGAAGUAGCACGCAGGGUGGCAAUGCACAUUGGCUCAUGGGAAGGAAUGGUCGACUUCACAGUGGCACCCAUGGACUACUUCAAGAUGGUACUGGGAAUGAACUUCCUAUAGAAAGACAAGGUCAUGCCACUACACUUCCUACAUUUAAUGGUUAUCCUAGAGGAUGAAAAGUCAUGCAUAGUCCUUACGGUCACCGAAGGUUCACCCAAGACCCCUAUGAUAUCGGUUAUGCAAGUAAAGAAGGGAUCAAAGAGGAAAGAGGUGACCUACCUCACCACUCUUAAGGAGGAAAAUGAUGAUGAGUUGGGGGAGCCCAUGCCUAAGGAAAUCAAGAGAGUCUUUGAUGAGUUCAAGGACGUGAUGUUGCCUAAGUUGCCUAAAAGACUCCUUCCUAGAAGAGAGAAAGAUCAUAAGAUCGAGUUAGAUGCAGGAACUAAGCCCCUUGCUAUGGGGCCAUAUAGGAUGGCACAACCCAAGCUGAAAGAGCUAAGGAAACAACUUAAGGAGUUGUUGGAUGCAGGGUUUAUCCAACCAUCCAAGACUCCCUAUGGCGCACCGAUUUUAUUUCAAAAGAACCAUGAUGGGUCCCUACAGAUGUGCAUCGAUUACCAAGCACUCAAUAAGGUAACAAUAUAGAAUAAGUACCCCAUUCCACUCAUUGUUGAUCUAUUUGAUCAACUUGGUAAAGCAAGGUAUUUCACUAAGUUGGACUUGAGAUCAGGCUACUACCAAGUGAGGAUUGUGGAAGGAGACAAACUGAAGACUACAUGUGUGACCCGAUAUGGCUCAUAUGAGUUCUUAGUGAUGCUCUUCGAUCUCACCAAUGUACCAACAAUGUUUUGGACACUCAUGAAUAAGAUCUUCCAUCCCUAUUUAGACUAGUUUGUGGUGGUAUACUAAGAUGACAUAGUCAUCUACAAUAGCAUCUUAGAGGAGCACGUGGAGCAUUUAAGGAAGGUCUUCAAGAUCUUAAGGUAAAACGAGUUAUAUGUAAAGAAGAAGAAAUGCUCAUUUGUUAAAGAGGAUGUGAGCUUCCUAGGGCAUCGCAUCAAAGAUGGCAAGCUGAUGAUGGAUGACAACAAGAUGAAGGUCAUCUAGGAAUGGGAUCCACCUACUAAGGUACCUCAACUAAAGUCUUUCCUUGGCUUGGCUAACUAUUACCAGUGGUUCAUCAAGGGUUACUCUACAAAGACAGCUUCACUCACUAAUCUUCUUAAGAAGAACAAGGCAUGGGUGUGAGACAAAAGGUGGCAACAAGCCUUUGAAGAUCUAAAAAGUGUUGUGAUUGAGGAGCCAAUGUUGGCAUUACCCAACCACAUGAAGGUUUUUAAGAUACACACAGAUGCCUCAAACUUUGCUAUUAGGGAAGUUCUGAUAAGAUAGACAUCUAAUCGCCUUCAAGAGUUGCAAGCUAAAUGACAUAGAGAGACGCUACAUGGUACAAGAAAAUGAUAUGACUGUCAUUGUCUAUUACUUGCACACCUGAAGACACUAUCUUCUAGGGUCUCACUUCAUAGUGAAAACCGACAAUGUUGUCAUUAGUUACUUCUAAACACAGAAAAGUCCUAAGUAAGCUAGGUGGCAAGACUUUCUGGUUGAGUUUGACGAUGCGCUGGAGUAUAAGACAAAAAGUACUAAUCAUGUGAAUGACGCCCUAAGCCGUAAUGUAGAGCUAGCAUUCAUGACGAGCCAGCCCCAAUGAGACAUAAUAGAUCUUCUAAGAGAGGGGUUGCAACAUGAUCUAGUGGCUAAGAGCCUUAUUACCUUGGCCCAUGAGGGAAAAACUAAGUGUUUUUAGGUAGAGGACGACCUACUCUACACUAAGGGGAGACUACUCUACGUGCUUAAGUGGGGGAACAUAAGGUAGAACUUGAUUAAGGAGUGCCAUGACACCAAGUGGGUUGGGCACCUUGGGCAACGACGCAUAAAGAGCACUACUCGAGUCAGCUUACUACUGAUCUUAGAUACAAGAUGAAGUUGAGGCAUAUGUGAGGACUUGUCUUGUGUGCUAACAAGACAAGGUAAAACAACAACAACCUAGAGGCUUGUUGGAGCCACUACCUAUAGCAGAGCGUCCAUGGGAGAGCAUCACCAUGGACUUCAUCAUCGGGCUACCUAAGUUGGAGGGCUAUGGCUCGAUCAUAGUGGUAGUGGAUAUGUUCUCUAAGUAUGUGACCUUCAUAGUAGCCUCUACUGACUGUACUGCAAAGGAGACAGCAAGGCUAUUCUUGAAACACAUGGUCAAAUACUGGGGGUCGCCUAAUUACAUCAUCAGUGAUCGCGAUUUGCAUUUCACUAGGAAGUUUUGGACAAAGCUCUUUAAGCUUAUGGGUUUGAAGCUUCACUUCUUCACAAGCUUUUCACCCGUAAACAGAUAGGCAGAUUGAGAGGGUGAACGCCUUAUUAGAGUUAUACUUAUCCUUCAUGAGUGUCAACCAAAAGGAAUGGACUAAGUUGCUAGAUGUAAUCCAAUUUUCAUACAACUUGCAAAGAAGUGAGACAACCAACAAGAGCCCGUUCAAGCUAGCCAUAGGGCAGCAACCAUUGACUCCUCACACACUACCAAUAGGCUAUACGAAGAGAAGUUCAGCGGCUUUGAAGUUCACUAAGGGGUGACACGAGCCAACUGACAUAAUAGCUCAUACUUGGAUAGGGCCGCUAGAAAGAUGAAGAAGUGGGCUGACAAAAAGCGACAUCACACUGAGUACAAGGUCGGAGACAUGGUCUUUGUCAAGCUCCUUCCUAAAAAAUUCAAGUCACUAAGGCCGGUACAUAAAGGCCUUAUGAUGAGGUAUAAAGGACAUUUCCCCAUACUUGGAAAGGUCGGCAAGGUGUCCUAUAGAGUUGAGUUACCACCGAGGUUGAAGAUUCAUAUCGUCUUCCACGUAAGUUACAUAAAAUCAUAUCACGAAGACAAGAAUUAUCCAAGCCAAGGGAUGUCCUAGAUGACACCUACAUCGAUUAUGACCUUCUAUGACAAGGAAGUAGAACACAUCAUUGCAGGCUGAGUCAUCAAGAGAUGAGGCGUGCCUCCUGCUACGGAGUACUUGGUGAAAUGGAAGGGACUACCAGAGAACGAGACUAGCUGGGAGCCAAUAGAUGCACUAUGGCAAUUUCAGGAGCACAUUAAGUGGUUCUAGGUGGAAGGUGCGACAAGGACGUUUACGGUUUAGGUAGGGGAGAGUGUCAUAGAAUGCUUCAAAUGAGCCUCCCCAGGGGUUUAUAUAGAGCCUAAGAAGCUUUUGGAGACUCCUACACUUAGUCAUUGGUGGGAAAAUGGUGGAAGGUUCUAAAGAUGUCUAAAGAUAUCCACACAUCUCUACACUAUGGUGGAAGGUAUGAGAGAAGUCCAAGGCUUUCUAGAAAAUUCUAGAGAUCUCUUGUAUAUUCUUGUACAUAGGCUUGUACAUAGAAUUGUGUAGGAAGUUUUAGAUUAUUCUUGAGUUGUAAGGAACCCUCCAAGAUUCCAAAGAGUUUCAUUGGUGCCUAUAAAUAGGUGAAGGCCUCAUUUGGCCAAGGCACCAAGCAAGUGAGUUCCAAAGCACUUGUAAAGCUUCUUUUAAGUAAUAAAAGCUUCCAUCCUUCAAGAUUUAUCUACUACGCCUUAUAAAGCUUUCAAGUUGUGAGCAUCUUAACCUAGCAAGCUGAGCAUUGGGAGCAAAACUGACUUAGCAAGAUCAAGGGUCUUGACUUGUCUAAGUGUCGCACGAGCUUAGGAAAAGACUAAGUUCAUGACACCUAGGACUAGUAGCAUGCACCCUAAGUAAUCCAAGGCUAGAAAUGAAAUGAUACAAGGAUUCCCAACACUUGACUUAAUUCCUUAGAAAUUGAAACUCAAUAAAAAACAUUAGUGUCAUUAACCUCAUUUUUUUUAUUACCAAUACUUAAUUAGGGGAAACCUUGAGCUAACAACCUCCUCAUUUUUUAUGAUGAUAAAACUGUACCAUCUAAAGAAAGCUUUCCUUAAUGUAUGCAUAUUAUAAGCAAUUUAAACAUUCAUCAUAAAAGAUGGAAAACAUAAACUCAAAUGGAGACAUGGAUAUAUAGAUAUAAGAGACAUCAUAAAGGUUGCAACAUGAUCGUAUAUCCGAAAUAGCAUCCAAAAGCAUGUCAUCCAAAAAAAAAUCAACCAUAAUAACCAUGUUCAAAUUGUCCCAAAAAGGAAAAAAAUAUAUAUAUGAAACAAAAAGUAUUAAAUAGUUUACUAAAUGUUAUGCCCUAGAUACCUAAAGAUAUCUCCCCCUUAGGCAACAUCGAAACAAUGAGGGAACUAUAUGGCUCAAGGUUGAGGUGGUGGAAACAAGGAACAUAGGACAGCUAUUGAAGAAGCUAAAAUUCUUCAUAAAUGAUUGAAUUUUAUUUCACCAUGAGAAACAAUACAAAGAGGGAUUUUUUUUUUUUUUUUUUUUUUUUUAUCAAGGGGAAGACCCCUUUCUCUUUACUACUUAUCCCUUUUAAUAAAAAUUCUUCCACAUUUUUCCACUUUAUUUUGCCAACAUUCUUUCAACCCCUUUUGCACAAAAAUGCCAAAGAUAGUAUUAGGAUAACCUUUUACAACCAUUGCUAACUUUUGACACAAGUUGCUAAAAAUUGUUGAAGAUUUGCUUUUAAUGUCAGGUAGGAUAGCAGAUUGGUUCUAAUUGAAGGUCAUUUCUUGUGGAGGACCUUACUUAUAAGUGAGAUGAUUGUUCCUAUCUUCAUGGUUUUAUGUUGUAUAGUUAUAGAGACUUUUUAGAGGCUAUCAGCUUUAGAGCAAAUUUAUGUUGUUUGUUAGGGAUUAAGUAUUUUAUUCAAAUUGGGUGAAUGGUACUACCUCUUUACUUGAGAUGGCUUUGAGAUUGGGUGGUUGAAUAGUAGUACUUUGGAAUGGUCUAGUUUUUGUUCGCUUUAGCUAUCAUUUUCUUAUGCUGUGUCUAUAGACGAGUGGAGACGUCAUUUGGAAAUUGGUCAAAUUGCCCGUGAAAUUGAUCAAAUUGUCAAGUUGUCAUCCUAAAAUUGACUAAACCUAGUUUGUAAAAAUGAGAAACGACCGUCACUAGCGACUAACAUCUUCUCAAGCUAAGUAUUAAUAGAUCCAAUCUGAGCAUAAAGGGCAUCUUAAUGUUGCAGGUUCAAUGCUCAUGAAGCAUAAUAUUUUGGAUACUUGGUGUGAGACACCUCAGCAUAAGUCUAAUCCAUAAGGAUAGUCUCCUCAGGAGGUUGAGAUGUGGGCAAUUGAAUGGUGGCAUCCAUGCCCUUGGUUUGCAUCUCCUGUUGAACAUCCUCACCCCCUAAUCCUUUAUGGUCACCCUCAGUCUCUAUCUAUAGAAUCUCUGCCUCUUACUCAACCCGGUCUUCAUUCAUAGCAGGACCCUUUCUUUUUCUUUCCAAUGAUCCAUUAGGCAAUUUCUCAAACAGCAUUCGGUCUGGAUUUUACGUUAUAGGUAUCAUAGGAUGAGGCCUGAAUGUUUUUUUCUCUUCUUAUGUCCACAUUGAAUGCUUUCAGGAUUUUUGUGAUCAGUCUUCUUCCGUUGGCCACUACUUUAGAAUUGCUUUUACAACAGUUUUUCAUGUGUUGAAAGAUGAUAAGGAAACCUUAGAAUGGAUCGGAGUCAAUAGAAAAUGCUACAUAAUAGGACACCUUGUCUCUAUGUCCACCCUUAGGUAGAAAAAUAUGUUUGAUCAUGUGGUGGUGCACCCUAGAGAUAAUGCUCAAGGCAUGGGCAUGGAGCUUUGAAGUCACUGUGUCGAUGGGUAAGUUACAUAUCCUCUAGAAAGCCCUACCUAGGUUAAAACUAGACACUAUAGGCCAUCCCUUCGUCUCAAAUAAACAAAGUCCCCCACAAAGGAUCUCCAAAAUAUCACAAAGCAUAUCAAUAUUUAGUUUAAUUCAACUCCUCUAACAAAUGUGCUAAUUGGCCUUCAUAUAUUUUAGGUUCAAGUAAAAUACCUGAACAAGGUUGGGGUAUGUAGGCUCUCUUGAUGAGAUGGUAUUGGUGAGUAUUUUUUUUUCUUCAAUACAAAACUAUUACAACACUUGGUUUUUUUUUUUUCUAAAAAAAAAAGAAAAAUAAAAAUAGUUUUAUAUUAUACUUAGUUUCAAGAAAAAUAAUAAUCAAAGCAAAAUGAAAAAAAAAUUCUCAUAUUGGUUUCUCGUGAAAAAUAUAAAAGCAAAUAAAAUACAAUUAAAAUUAAUUAAAAUCUUAUGUAUUUUUAAAUUAUUAAUUUUUAUAUAAAAAAUGAAAAAUAGUAUAAUGAAUUUAGAAGAAUAUAUAAAAAUAAUGUAUUAACUUUAAAUCUUUUUUUCUUUAUAUAUAUAUUUUCCCUUCAAUUUUCUAAUACCAACACAUAAUAAGGUUAAUGUCUUCUAGCCAACCAAUUGUAAGUCAAUUUUCAUAGAGCUUUUUUUUUUUUUUUUUUUUACAUGCCACCAAGUAGUUAUAUAAGCAUUUUUGCAUGUUAUUGUUAUCCAACAUACAAUAACUAUAACAUCCAAUUAUUAUGAACAUGAACAAUAAAAUUAGAUGCAACUAACUAUUUAGUGUAUAACAAGAAGUUGGUGAAGUAAUUCAUCCUAACAUGAUUCAACAAUUUUUGUUUAUUUUUCAAGAUUAAUUAUAACAUACCCAUUCUAUUAAAGUUGUUGAGAUAUUUGAGCAAAACUAAAAAUCAACAUUAAUUCAUUUUAUACCCACAAGAGAAAUAAGAUUUGUUUUUUUGUUUGAUAAUAAAGUAGUUGUAGUUAUUAAUGAUAAUUUUGAUCCUAAUUUAAUAGGUAUCCAAAAAAAAAGGAAAAAUGCAAGUAAACCAAUUCUUAUCUAACACAAUUAUUACCACCUUAAAAUCCUGAGGGGUAGCUCAGUUGAUCAGUUCGAGUCCCUUUAGGACCAUGAAAAGCUUACCCGAUGGUUCACCUUAAGAAAAGCAAAGCAUUUAUAUAAUUCAACUGGUAGUUGAUAAGUCUUAGAAAGGGUUUUGCCAUCAUUGGCUUCUCAGUAAAGGGCAAAUUUGGGUUGUGGCUGACAAUUAUUGAAUUUGUGAAGAAAUAUGUGAAGAAAGGAAACAAAAAGAGUUGAGGACAGAAUUCUUCAAUUAAAAAAUGGUUAGCCCAUGAACCCAUUCUUCAAACAGUAAGCCAAUGAGCCAAUGAGCCAAAAAGAAAGAAGAACAGCUGGUUUCAUCUUUUUAUCUUAAUGACUUUGACAACCCAUCUUUCUUUUAAAUACUUGUGACUUUGGAAUAUAAUUAAAAUGAAACUUUGGAAUGCCCACAUCUGAUUCACGGCCUUUUUACCUGUUUUCUUGUUUAACAUUUUUUUAAAUAUUAUAACAGAUGGAAAAACAUGAUUCUAACAGGCUGGAAAAUAGUGGAAGUUGGAACACCAACCAUAACCAAACUAUACCUUCCAUCUUUCUCCAACACUCGGAAUUAUUGAUACAAGUUGGUGGUUUUAUGAUUGUUUCUAUUGAGGGGACCCCUCUCCAUUUCCAAUUUCAAUGGAAAGGUUCUUCUUUCCCUACUUUUUUUUUUUGUUUUUCAAAUUCUUGUAGUUUUGUCUGUCUCUCUCAACAAAGCAAACUGCAAUCACUAAUUCAAAGAAAAGGAAUCCUAAAUGAAAAGAAAAGAAAGGAAAGGAAUGGUAAUUUAGGCUAUGAUGAUGCUCCUAUAUAAUGGCUGUAAGUCAAUAACAACACACUGGACCCGCCUCCUAUCUCAAAAGAUCACAAACCCAAAUAUCAUAUACUUCCAAAUUUCAAUUUGGUUCCCUGUUUAUAUCACAAUCUGUCCUAUAUCCUCUUAAUACAUCUAAAAUCUCUCUAUAUCAUAAAAAUAAUGAUGGAAAAAAAAAUUAAAAAGAAAGAAGGAAAAAAUGACAAAAAAAAAAAAACCUUGGUGCUGCUAUGGGUCCAUAGGAAUUGGCAGGACUGCACUUCUGGAUCCCCUUCCAUGGCCAAAAGAAAAGAAUGAUCUUCGGAAUCUGCUGCUGCAACCUUCACUAGGGCUGAAGUCACUGACAGGCCUGUUCUGUUGCAAAAUCUCUUGAAUUGCUAAAUACAGCUGCCUGUCGUUGGAUGAGUCCAUUGAAAAAGACCUCCUGAUGGGUUGGAUUGAGAACUGAUCAUCUUUGCCUCUAGUGUCAAUGCACUCAUCACCCAUGCUUGCAACAUGAUGAAACUUCCUUGCCUUUUUAGGCACAAUUCUCUGCUCUAGCUUCCUAGGUGAUGGACUAAUUGAUGGCGCAGAUAACUCUCUGGAAUUCAGUCUUUCUGGUGGCCUAAGCAGUGAUGAAUCAGCAGAACUAUCAUUUCCCAAUUCAAUUACUACAAAAUCUUCAUCCCCUCCUAUGUAAUUAUUGGCGUAGGGGCUUGGAUCUUGGGGGGAAGAGCUAGGAGCAAUGAUUUGGUGAACAGGAAACCGGGGUGUGGUUGAAAUGCUUGUUCUGCAAAGUGGGCAAUUAGCAUUGCUUUGAAGCCACACGUCUAUGCAAUCUAUAUGAAAUAUGUGACUGCAGUUUGGUAUGAUUCUUAGCUUCUCUUCUUCUUGAAACUCAUUCAAGCAAACCGCACACUCGCAAUGGCUUCUUUCUCCAAACUCUCUGCCACCUCCUUUCCUGAACUGGAAUAUUGGGAUUGAUCUGAUGACUGACUCGUCCAGGCCUCGACUCUCGAUUGCUGGGGAGUACACCAUUAAAGGGUCUUCCGGGUGCCGACUCCUUGAGAAAGAAAAUCGUCUCAGCAGAUCAAUCCGGUGCCAAUUGAGGCAGCAUUUGAUUACAAAGAUGUAGUAGCUCACCAGCAAGAAAGCAGUGGCCAGGAUUCCUAUUACGGCAAUGGCUAUAAUGGGGAAACUGGUGUCCGAGGAAUGAGAGGGAGAAGGAAGCACUGAGCUCGCCUGGCUUUUGAUGGGAGAAAAGGCUUGUGAUCCAUGGAUGGAGGAGUCUGUGCUCACAAGAUCCAUGAGAGAGGCUAUGAAAAACAUUUAGAAAUGAGUCUAUUCGGAUCUUCAAUUCACAGAAACAUGCAAAUGCUAGAAUAAAAUCGACAGACACUCAGAUAUAGACCCUACAGUUGUAAUGCAGCAUACCAUAAAUGUGAUUGAGUGAGUGAGGCUGAAACAGCAAAUGGGUCACUUCAAGAUCUCAACAAGACAGAAAACCCAUGUUGAAUUCACCAGGAGAGUAUUGAAAAGGGAAAAAUUAAGGACAUAUAGCUGUAUUGAAAGUUGAAACAAAUGCAGAAACAUAGAGAAGAGAGAGAGAGGGAGAAAACCCAGGAGGGUUGAAUGAGAGCGCUGCUGGGGAAGACAUCAAAACGCUUCAAAUUCAAUGAGAAUCUGUUGGGGACCUCUUUAAGAGGACUGCACAAAGCCUGAGCGUAGGGUACGUGGUUGGUUGGUGAAUUUCUCGGCUUCCAAAAGAGAAAUUUGGUGAGAAAAUUUUCAAGUCUCUUGAUUAUAGUAACGUAGCGUUUAUUUUAAUUUUAUGUAACCGAAACUAAUGGGCUGGUUCAAAAAAAUAAAAAAUAAAAAAAGGAACUUUCUAGGAUAGGCCAGCAGUCCACCGUUGGUCAUGUGGUUUCUUUUGCAUGUCCACAUCUUCCAACUAGUGGAGGUCCCUGUCACAACAGUAAGAAAACACCCAAUUGAAUAAAAGUAUGAACUUUUGGCUCCCAAUAUUACUUAUGCCCUCAUUCAAUACCUCAAAUAAAGCAGAGAUUUUGUGUCCCAACUUUUAUGAUUUCAUUUCAUCUUACUUCAAAUGCUAAUGACAAAAGUCCAAGUAUAUUCUGUAAUCACCCACACCCCAAUAGUUUUGAAUCACACUUGAAAUAGUUCCCAUGCUUUCUUAAUAAUUUAGAUAAUUAUUUACAGAAAAAAAAAUUCAGAACAGGAUGAUAAUCAUUUUGUGAUAGCAUGGAAGAAACUUUACUAGCCACUUUGGCCCCAUGAAGUUGAGUACUUGAUGCCAAUUAAUGGCAGGGUGGAAAAUAGAGAAAAGGGAUCAUAGUCAAAUCUAGAGUACAAGGCAUUGAAUCUUUGUUAAUAAUUAACAAAUGGGUAAAGCAUGGGUCACAGGGUCUACAGUUUGGAUUGCAAAAACCUCAGGCUUCUAUAAAAAGCUCAUCCAUUAUCAAUCAUCAAUCUGAAAGCCAGAAAGUCCAAGGCACAUGCAACCCACGACAGGGGUAAGAUUUCUGCAUCAUGUCCCUGAGUUGCAUUCACAUCAUAUGUUUCCCUCCGGGCCGUUCCAAUUUGAAAUCUCAUGGAAAUCUUCAAGAGCAAGGCUACAGAGUUUAAGAUAAUACUAGGGGUGGGUCCUGAUGGGAAAAGAGGUAGUGUAGGAUAGUCAAUAAAGGGCAUGUGUCUCUGGUGUGAAGUCAAAUCCAGUGUACCAUCCUCAAUGGAAAAUUUAGAAAUAGAACCGACACUCUACAGACUGCCGUGUUGACAGAUUAGAGAAAGACAAACCCACUUACACUUGCCUCAAAACCCAGUCCUGCCAUUUCAAAGGCAAAAAAAAAGGGUUUCUUUUUAUAGUCAAAGGUUGAGGCCUGGCCUGGCCUAGCAAAGAAACUUCACCUACUCUUUUCUUAUUUUUCAAAUUAAGGCCAUUCAACUUUUCCUGUUUGCAGGCUUGCUGCCAUAUCUUACUCCAAAAAAGGUGAAAACCCAAAAGAAAAAGAGUGUUUGCUUCAAUGGAAAACUCAUGUUUAAUAAAUUCACCGCACGAGUUUUGUUCCAGCUUUUCCUAUGAAAGCUGUGAUGCGUUUGGUAUGAAGUUGAUUUUGUUCCUAAAAAUUUUGAUCUUGGCGUGGAAGGCAACUUUUUCCUUUUCCCCCUUUUUCUUUUUGAAAAGUUCGGCAUUAGUUACCAAAUGUCCUUUUACUUGCAUGUAGGACAGCGGAAGCAUUACACAUCGCAGCAAAAUCCCAUUUACCCGAAUUUUCCACUAACUCUUUUUAUUUUUUACCAUCAUUUUUUAAUAGAAGUGAUGCACUCUUCAAAUUACAUGAAGCUUUUAAGAAGGUAAUAACCCGUUUCAAAGCGAACUUAACCUACAGAGUAUGUUUUAAAAAUAUUUAGGUAUUUGAUAAAAUUUAAAAAAUAUUUUUUAAAAUCUUUAAAAUGAUUUGUAAUAUUGAAAAUUUAUUUAUACUUUUUUUAAUAAAAAAACAUUUUAUAGGUAAUUUUUCUAAAAUACUUUUAGAGAAAAUGUCUUCCCUUCACUAUAAAUAUUAUAUACUAUCAAAUACACUUUAAAAAUCUGUUUAACAAUAAUUUUAUAAAGUGUUUUUAAUUUUAAAAAUAUUUUUAAAAACAAAUUAAAUUUUUGAUAAAAUUUAAAAAAUCUUUUUAAAAAUUUUGAAAAAUAUCUCGUAAUAUUAAAAAAUAUAUAUAUUUAUAAUGUUUUUUAUAUAAAUACUCAAAAUUCAUUUAAUAGUGAUUUUAGGAAAUGUUUUUAAUAUUUCUAAUACUUGAAAAUUUUUUAUCAUUUAAGUAUUAAAAAUAUUAAAAACACUUUAUAAAAUCACUUUCAAAUGGACUCUUAAUGAUUUUACUAAAAACACUUUUCAUAGAAAACAUUUAUAAAAAAUAAUUAUGAAAUACACUCUAAAUUAAGUAAAAGUUGUUUUUAACAUUACCACUAUUUAUUAAUAGUGCAUUUGUUUAAAAUAUUUAUAUGAAAAAUUCAUUAGGGUGGGAUAUAAAUAUAGAAGUGUUUUUCUUUAUAUAUUUUUUAUAAUAAAAAAUGAUUUUUGAAAUUAUAAAAUUUGAAUUUAAGAAUCAUUUGAUAAUAAUUUUUGUUAAAGCACCUUUAAUACGUGGUGCUUCUAUUGAUAGCGCUUUCAUUUCUAUGAAUGGCUAUAAAUUAUAUUUGAAUAAAUUUUUUAUAAUGUAUUAUAUAAUAAAAAAAAAGUCAUUUUUAAAAAAAUUAUACAUUAAAUGAUUAUUCAAAUAGUAUUUCCUAAAUUUUAUUAAACAUUUUUUUCAAAAAAAAAAAAAAAGUUUUCAAAUACUAGAAAACGUUUUUAAUCUCUCACACGAUCACAUCCAAACAAGUCCUAAUGCUACUCCUAGAAACACUCCAAAACAAAAGUCUUCCUCUAUUAAUGUUCAUAAAAUCCACAUAUAUUCUUCCAUCGUUUUUUCAAAAUUCAAAAUCAUUUCUAAAACAUCAAAUCAUGUUCUUUGGAUUGGCUGACUUGUUUUUUGAAAAUAGAAGGCUCAUUAUUGACGUCCGUUGACUUCAUAACCCAGUCUUGAUCUCUUGAUGGAGGGCAUAAAUGUAAAUUGGACGAAACCCUAGGGUGCGCUAGAGUGUAGAGGAUGAAAGGUUGGAAAAAGGAUGAGGUGGGGGUGUAAUAAAGAGGAGGGUUGGGAGAAUGGGACAUGUGUAGGUGAAGCAUUAAAUUCAAGACUAUGCUUACCAACAACAUAUAAAUAAAUAAAUAAAUAAAUAUAGGAACAGCACAUGGGGUGAGUAGGAGACAUCAGAAGAUGUGAACAACCCCUUGUCAGUCCAAUUUGCGUCUUUUAUCUACUCUAUUAUCUAUAUCGAUUUUCGUAUUUAUUUAUUUAUUUAUUUAUUUUUACCAUUUGAUUUUGCAUGGAUGUCGAAGGGUUUAUUGGCUGCCACGUGUAGGGUUAUGGUCAAGAUCACGUGGGGUGCCUACAUGGGAGUCACGUGAGUGCAUGAGGCAGGCUUGAAUUGCAGGAGGAGCAGGAGCAGAGCAGUGGCUGUUGUCUUAAGACUUUGCUCUCUUGGUGGAACUGCAGCUUAAGCAGCAUCCACGUGUUGUCACGUGCAAUGCGAGCCAUCCACACCACCAGUUUCUUUUUAGUGAUUUUCUAAAGUCAGUUAAGGUUGCAGUCAAUACCUUCAAAUGUUGACAGAGUUAGGGAUCUUUGUUAAAUGGAUUUUAUUAAGAUAUUAGUAAGUUAAUUAAUUGAGGGUCAACAUAACAGAUGGGUCGGGUUGGGUUGAAUCUGAAUUUAAAACGAUUUAAUUUAUGUUUAAUCAAAUUUAACAUUUAACUCGAAGCACUCAACUUAAGUUUAAUUGAAUCUUAGUUUUCAAAACAUUAUUUAAAUUUGGGUCAUUUGGAUUAAAGUCAAAUGGGUUAGAUUAAUCGGGUUAUAUGGUUCAAAAUCCACUUACCUUAUUUUUUAUACAUUAAUAUUAAAAUUUAAAUAAAAAAUAUUAGAAGAAAUUUCAAACUUGGGAUUAGUUGAUUGUAGCCAUGCAUUUGGAUGUUGGUAUUCUUGUUUCUUGUCUUGUUUCCAAAUACCCUUUCAAAUCGCUUUGUUAUUCAAUAGCAUCCUCCCGAUCAUUUAAAAAUUUAAAGAGCAUUGGUAUGAUGGAGGAAUUCAGAAAUUUUAGUUGAAUAAGUAAAAUUUUUCUCUCAUAAAACCAAAUAGCCUCUAUAGCUCAGUGGUAGAGCGUCAGUCUUGUAAACUGAAGGUCUGUAGUUCGAUCCUGCAUGGAGGCAACUUUUUAUAUUUCAUGAUCCAUUAUGCUCUAGUGAUUUAGUUUUCAUUAUAAUUUUAGAUUAAAAAAUUACAUCAACAUUUGAUAAGUUGGUUAUGACUUUGAUAUAAGGAUGAAACUAUCAAUAAUAUAUAUAAAUAUUUUGACACAAAAUAUCUAAUAUAUUAAAAAAUUAAAAAAAAACUCUAAAAAACAUUAUAAAAUUAUAUAUAUAAUUUAUCAUAUUUAAUAAUAAUAUCUUCUACCCUAAUAAAAAAUAUAAAUUUUAUAAGCAUACAUUUAUUAUUACAUUGUAUUAUAUAUUAUUUUACAAGAAUAUUAUGAUAACAUGUCUAAUUUUAAAAUAUAUUUAAUAUUAAAAUUAUCAUCAAUUUUAAUUUAAAUGUAUUUAAUGAUAUCAAAUAAUAUAUAUAUAUAUAAUUUUUUAAUAUUUAUAUAUUUUUAUAUUUAAUAAAUAUAUAAAUUAUGUAAAAAAAAAAGACCUAUUAAGAAGAUUAUGUUUUUAUAUUUGGAUCAAAAUUAAGUUUUUCCGAUAAAAUAUAUGAAACUAUUGAUAAAUUAUUGAUUGAAACGUGAAAAAAAAAAUUCAAAAAAUAGAUGAGAUAUUAGUAAAAUAUCCGAAAAUAUUGAUUGAUGAAUAUAUCAUUUCAAAUUUUGCAUCAACAUCCACAUAUGUUGGAUAUAUUGGCCAAAUAUAUUUAAACCUUGUUUCCAUGAGAAGUCUUUCCUUCAACAAUUUCAAAAGGUUAAUGAGGUGGUUUCCAAGAGAUGUGUGUAGGGGUCUCCAACGGGCGGGCCGGGCCAGCGGGCUUUUUGAAAUAAGCCAAAAUGGCUUUCAAAAAAGGGAAGGGAGAGGAUUUAAACCCCUUCCUUCAUGCUUAAAUUUCAAGGUUCUAACCAAUUGAACUACAUUCCUUUAAUGUUUAUUAAUUGAGUUAGUUAUAUAUAUAUAUAAAAAUAAAGUAUAUUAUUUUUUAAAGGGGCGGGCCUACGGGCUGGGCCGGGCCGAAAGCGGGCCACGGGCCACGGGCUUUUUGGAGACCCUUGGAUGUGUGCAAUCACAUUUGGUAUUAUAGGUGACAAAGUUUGAUAAAUGAGUAAUUAUUAGGUUAACUUAUAAAAUCCGAAUUUGAUUUAAAUUGAUUCAUUUAAUAAUCCCAUUUAUUUACCCAAUUAAAACUUUAAAUUAUUUAACUUAUAUUUAAUUUAAUUAAAAUUUGUUUUUAAAUAAAUAGAUCAAUUAAAACAUAAACAUAUUUGAUUGAAACAUUAAUAAUAUAGAUUUAAAUAAGACCUAAUUCAACCUAACGAUCAAAUAGAAAUAUCUAAUUAUUAAAUAAAUUAAACAUGUUACUUGCUUAAUAAUUAUGUGACAUUUGAAUUUAUGCUUUUGAUAUAAUUAUUAUUUAUAUCAGGUUUAUAUAAUGAAAUAUCUAGACUUUGACACCAGUCAACAUUGUCCACCAAUACAGAUUGCAACUCUUAUAUGCUACAUCACAUCAUGUUGAAGGAAGAGGAUGACGUUCAUUGGCAGCAGAGCCUCCAAUCAUAAGGAGCUUGAGCAAAUUCAAUCUCAACACUGAAAUUCACUAGAAAAAAAGUUUAUUAUUGAUACUUCAUUUGUGUAAAAGCAUUAUAUUUCUUGCAUCAAUCGUAAAGCAUGACAUUCCAGUAGGUACGGAAGAGAAAAUUUGUUAUGAAUUGAAAAAUCUGUCAAGCUUAAUUUGGAGGGCCCAAAAUUGACACGUUUAAGAGCUCUAUCAUUAGCCCAAUGAUAAGAGUCCAUUUCUUGAGUUUCAAGGAAGGCCCAAGUUUAACUUAGAGGGCCCAAUCUUGGUACCUUCUAAAAGGUGCAAACUUUGGCCCAAUUAUAAAAGCUUAUCCUUGCUUCCUAAGCAUCAAUGAUAUAUUUGAUCGAAGUAUUCACAUAACUAUCACGAAAUGAAAUGAAAUGAAAAUGUAUAAGUAAAUGAUGAUUUUGAGUUAUUUACUGACAAUAAAGAAUUAGGUGGUGUUUGUUUUUUUUUUUUUGGCUUUUUACUAAAAGCAAUUUGUUUUCAGAAUUUAGGUUAUUUAUUUUUCUAUUUUUUCAUGACUUAUUAUAAACUUUUUACUAAAUAAGAAAAUCCAAAAUAUAUAGUUUUUUCUAAAUAGAAAAAAUAACAUAUUGGUUUUCUUUUUUUUUUACUUUUUAAUAUUUAAUAGAAAUAAAAUAUUAUAAAAACAAACAACCUAAUAUUUAACACUAUUAAGUAUUAAGGUUUUAUUUAGAAUUAAGUAAAAAAACAAACACUACCUUAAAAUGAAAAGUAUGUAUAAUGACCUUAUACAAAAAAAGUCUCAUUAUUUUCUUCCAAAGAACUCAUACUUUUGUUUUUCAACUAUUACUUUGUUUUUAUUUUUUAAAUAAUAUUUCAAGUUUUUUUUAAUAAUACCUUUCUCUUUAUUAGAUAAUUUUAAUGACUUUAAAAGUAUUUUAAUAUAUUAAUUUAUUAUAUAAUUUUAAUGAUUUAAAAAUAUUUAAAUGUUGAAAUAUUUAUUUUCAAGUCUAAUUUUAAUUAUUUAUUUUUUGAAGUAUUUAAAUAUAUAAUAAAUGUGGGAUUAUGUAAAUCUAGUUGUAAUUAUUUAUUUCAUUCUAUUCAUGUUUUUAGUUGAAUUUGCUCAAAAUUUACACCUCUUUAUUUAAAGAUCAUGGAUUAGUUAGGUGUCUUGAGAUUUUUUUUCUCUCAAGACACUACUUGUUACACUAGAAAAUAAUUUGUGGCUAUAUUUUUUAGGCAAAAAGAAUUAUAUGUUAAAACUUCCUUUAUUGACUAGUUUAUCAUAGGGUGUAGAGGAAAGUUUGUGAUGUCUUUUUAUGUCAACUUUGGGAGAAAAAUAUCACUUUAGCAUUUUCCUUAGAAAAUUUUCAUACAUAAUUGAUUUUGGAACUAUGGAGGAGCAUAAGUAGGGAUAGAUAAUUCGAUUUUGGAAAAAUUAUAAUAGCUUUUCAACUUGGUGUUAAUGAUAUAUUGUUUAUUUCUUAUUUUUUUUCCAUUUUAAUAUAUAAUUGGGGAUUUUAAACUUGUAGAACAAGGCUUUUUCAAUUGAAUUGACACGUACAUAUGAAAGUUCUCUUUGGUUGCUAAUCACAUUUUUUUUUCUUUUGCUUUUUGUUUUUAUCAUAAUGAAUAUUGAACUCGAAAUUCAGUUUUUAAAAUCUUAUGAUGUUUUAAAGUUUAUAAAUAUUAUUGAUUUUUAUAAAUGAUGUUAUUCAUAUCUUGGUAAAGACAAUAUUUUCAUAUCGGUCAAGAUGAUUAAUAACAUAUAAGUUCAUAAAGAAAAACCUAUUGAUUAAUGGAUAUUUAAUGAUUUUUAUUAGGAAUGUUUUUUAAUUAGUUUCAAUACUCAUCUUUUAGAGCAUACAUAUAGGGUUUUAGAUGCUACAUUGGUUUUCAGCUUGUGAUUUAAAUUAUUGAAGCAAAAAAUGAGGGUUUUGCUUUAUGGAACUAUCUAAAGGGAGGUGAAUUAGGCGGUCUUCCUUUUUAAAAUCCAAAAAUUAGAUUUUUAAUACUUAUAUUAGUUAUACAUGUGUUCAAUAAUUAAAACAAAGAACAAGUCCAUAAUUUACAUGUGAUGUGCAUGGAAAAACACCUACAAAUUCUCUCAAAUACUUUACAAAUGAAAAAAAAAUCAAGGAUCGAUCAAUCACAGAGCAACUUCACUAAAUAUGAAAACAUGACUAUACAAUUUUACUUGGAUGAGGUGCUACCUUCUCUUAAGGGUUUUUACACUAGCCAACAAUUACACUCACCUUCACUCUCACCAUGCACCUCUAUUGUGCUCCAUAGUAAACACUUUAAUGACUGUAGCAAGAUUGCGAUAAAUUACUGCGAUUAAUUUGAGAGUGUUGAUAAUGAACAAAAAAUAAUGAUAAUUAACUAGAGAGCAUAUGAUUUUGUAAAAACACCAAAAAGAGGCAUAGUUAUAAGUGAAAACUUUAAUGGAUUGGAUUGAAUAUAUAAUUGAAGUAUGAAUGAAAAAUUACCAAAACAAUGUUCAAAACCGUGCUAAUCAAAGCACAAUCACUUGAGUACUCUCAUGGGGCACUUGAAUGCUCCUUUUAAUCACCGUAAUGCUGAAAUUAAUAAUUUGUCUCAAAUUGUUUUUCCAAAACAUAAAGCAAAAUAUUAUAAAUUUAUAUAAUCAAACCCAAUUUCAUCUUAAAGCUAGCCUACUUAGUCUUAAUUCAUGUCCAAAAAUACUCAUACUUGUCAAAGAAUGAAUAUGGUAUAAACAAAUUCUUUAUUUUCAAUUAUAUUCAAUUAUUGAAAGAAUAAAUCGGUUUACAUACAUUUUGAACAAAGGUAUAUACACAUAGACUAAAUCAAGGAAAUGAGGAAAUCAAUCACAAUCAAAUCAAAAUCAAAUGAUAGGUUGAUAUCUAGGAGAAGGUUAAGUUAGAACCAACUCAUGUAUUCAAUAUUCCCCCUUAAGAUGGCAUAUGGAGAUCAUGAAUAUCAAACCUAGAAAGUAAGGGAUAUGAAAUAUCUAUACCAAGGGAUUUUAUGAAAUAUCAACCAAUUGUUGUUGUGAUUAAACAAAUUGAAUAAGAAUAAUUUCAUUUCGAAUCUUUUCAUAGAUCAAGUGACAAUCAAUUUCAACGUGUUUAUUCUGUUCAUGGAAAAUUAGAUUAAUAGCAAUGUAUAGAGUUGUAUUAUUGUCACAAUAUAGAUGCAUUGACCAAGGAUGAUGAACUCCAAAAUCUAUAAGUAAAUAUUGCAACCAAUGCAAGUAGUAAUCAUUAAAUAAUAUUUCACUUUUCUUCAUGAGUGUUAUAUCAUUGAUUGCUUUUUAGAUCUUCAAGAGAUUGAUAGGCCACCAAGUAAAAUACAAUACCCUAUAAUUGAACAUCAAGAUUAUGCACAAUAGGCAUGGAGGAAGGCAAAAGAAUUCCUUGACCUAGACGAUUUUUUAAAUAGUAUAACACUCAUGUACUUGUGAGAUAAUUGAGACUACAUUGGCUUGUCAAGAAUUUGAACAUAAUUAGCAAUAUUAAGCCCUAUCAUUAUGAGUCAAAGUAACUUCCCAAUCAAAUGCCUAUAAUAAGAAGCAUCCAACAAAGGUUCUCUAUCUAAUUUACUCAAUUCCAAAUUUUGUUUCCUAGGAGUUUUUAAAGUUACAUGUUCCAAGAAAACCAAAAUCUUUUAGUACUUCUAGAGCAUGUUUUCAAUAACUUAAAUAAAUCUCAUUCUUAAAAUAUGUCAUUUCAAUGAUGAUGAAGUACUUUAAUUUUCCAAUCUCUUAGUUAGUUUGAAAAUGCUAUAUAGGUUUUCCUUGACCACCUUAAUUCCUUUAAGAUCAUUCAUUGUAAUAAUUAUAUCAUAAAUGUAAACAAGAAUGAUUGUGAAAUAGUUAUUUGAGGCUUGAGCAAAUAAGAAGUAAUAUGUACGUCUUGGCUUGCUUGUAAACCAUAAACAUCAAUGUGAUAGAUAAUUUGGCAAACCAUCAACGUGAAGCUUGCUCAAGGCCAUAAAGGGAUUUUUUAACUUUGCAAAUCAUAUUUUUGGUUCUAGAUUUCCUACAAACUUGGUGGAAGCUGCAUGUAUACCUCUUUAUCUAAGUCUUCAUAAAGAAAAACAUCGUUGAUGUCAAGUUGGUGAAGAUGUCAAAUUCUAAUUAUACAAUAAUUAGGGGUGACAAUGUGUCUUAUCGUGUUGAGGUGAGAAAUAGUGAAAAUUUACUUAAUCCGACUAUGACCCGUUUGAUAAUCGUGUCAAAAUAACCUAACAUGAAUACAAUUAGUUUAUUUCAUGUAACAUGACCCUUUUAACAUGUUUAAUAAAUAUAUUAACUUGGAUUAUGUAUUAAUUGACAUGAAUAACUCAUUAACUUGAUUUCAACCCCUUAAACUCAUUAACACAAUUCCAACCCAAUAAACUCGUUAAUAUGAUUUAACUCAUUAAACUUGUUAAUAGGAUUAUAACCUCUUUAACCUAUUUAAAAUUUUAAAUUUAUAAAUAAUAAAAUACUUCUAGAAAGUUUAAUUUUUAAAAUUUGAACUAUAAUACAUGUAUGCACCAAUUUCAUGAAGUCCUGAAAAAUUAGCAAAAUUAUAGAAAAAUAAUAUAAACAAAAAUUUGUAUUAAAAUUAAUAAGUAUGGGCUACAAUAUUAGUCAUAGUACUGCUUAUUUCUGAAUGACUUUAUUAAAAAGCGAAGAAUACAUGUGUAGUUCUUAUGUGAUUUCUUAAACUUGUAAGGCGAUUUUAUAAAGUUUUUUUUUUCUUUGUGAAACCUCUUUUUCUAUGUGAAAUUGUUUUGCCGAUUUGAAAUCUUCAUUAAAGGAAGUUACUAUUAUUUAUAAUUGAAAUUAGAGAAUGAAAUGUGGAAUCCCCAUGAUUUAGUUGCUUAAUUCAAGGAAUUUGAUUAAUUGAUUUUGGUAACUUGUCUCAUAAAAUUUUCUAACAAGAAUAUUUAUUUUUAAUCUCUUUUAUUUCAAUUGGAAUAUUUGUUUCCUUUGUAAAUUUGUCAAUAGAAUAUUUAUUUAUUUAUUUAAUUCUCUUUUGACUACAAUGAGAAGAUUUGAUUUUGUUUGUAAGACUAAAUUUUAUAACCUUUCAAAUUUGGCCAAGUGACACCUUUUGAAUAUAUGUCACAUGUCAAAUGUGUGUGACUCAUUAGUUGUUGAACCUAAAUUUUCUUGAAUUAGAAAGCUAUACUUUUGAAGACUAAUUUAGUGAUAAUUUAAUUCAUUAAAUUUUUUUGGUGUCUACAGUAUAUUUAUAAUAUGAAAAGUAAAUUAAAAUUUUAAUUUUUUUACUUGUUUAUUAUUUUAUUUAUUAUUUAAUGAUAAAUAUUUUUAUUCUUUAUUGAAAUAUAUAAAAUUUUAAUUAAUAUUUUAAUUUUUUUAAUUUCUAUAUAUAAAAUAUAUAGAUUUAUAUGGUCUAAUUGAGUCAUUAAAAUAAAUAGGGUAAAUAACUCACACAUAAGUGAUGGAUCAUUCUAACAUGAUUAAAUUAACAAGUUAGAUGAAUUGAGUAGUCAAAUACAAACAUGAUUUGUUUAUUAAAUAAGUUAUAUGAAUUGAUACGAUUAUGACAUCAACUCAAUUAAACUUAACUCAAAUAAGCUUUGUCUUUUAUUUUAAGUUGUCUAGUUGUUCACACAAAUUUUCUCAAAAUAAAGAAAUUAUAUAUAAAAUUGUAAAUUUGAUUAUUUGAGGGGACCAUUUUCAAUACUCUUUUUUAAGUAAUCUGGUGUUUAAUUUUGAAUCAAAGGGGCUUUCAUUAACAAAUAAUAGACUGUAGUUUUCAUAUAAGAAGAAAUCUCAAGCCUUUUUUUCUUGAAGGAAUCUUUAAAUUUUCUUUGAUACUUUAAAAAAUCAAUCUUCUUUGAUUUUUUAAGAAAUCUUUGAAUUUUCUUAAAGUCUUCAAAAAAAAAAAAAAAAAAAAAACUGAGUUUAAGGAAUUUUUUUAAUAACUCUCCAAAUUUCUUUGAUAUUCCAAAGUGUCCUUUAGAAGGGGACAAAUCCUCUAUUUACAGGAUUGAGAGUUUUAUUUUAAUAUUAUCUCUUAAUUUUUAAGAAAUAACUCUCUUAUUUAUGAUAAUUACUAUUUAUUUUAUUUAUCAUAAUUAGUUGCCUAUGAUAAUUAUCAUAAUUAAUUUUUCUAGAGAUAAAUAAUUAUAUAUAUUUAAUUAAUCAUGAUAACUAUAAUAUUUAUUUAAUUUUUUAUUAAAUUAUUUUACAUAACAUAUCAAUAUAUAUUAUUAGUCAAUUAUUAACACCGAAAAUUAAUGAGUUGGCAUAAAAUUUAUCUCUCUAUAAUAGUAUCAAAGCGAGCCUUAAUAAUAACAUUGCUUAUAGUCAAUUUCACAUGCCAACUUUUUACUGGGCAUUGGCGAUUUCAAUUUUGAUAGUCCGGUUAGAAAAAGUAGGUAAAGAUUAUUUGAUGUGGUAGGUCAUUUCUUUCAUAAAGACGAUGGCGGUGAAUUCAUGAGACAGGUGAUAAAGGAGAGAUUCUUUCUUUUGGCUUUGGAAUUUUAAUGAGGUCCUCGAUCCUCAUCCAAAAUACACCUCUCCAAUUAUAAAAAUCUUAUUAAAAAAAAAAAGAUUUGACAUGUGCCUUUCGAACUGCUGGUUUUCUGUUCCAAAAAUGAGAAUGGUUUCAAGUGGAUGAAGGAAGGUGAAGAACCCUUGGUUUUGUUAAGCGAAAAGCCACAUGAUUAAAUAAACAUAAGGCGGCAAAGGCUGAAAAUUUAAAAUUAUACUAAGGAACCCACCCCACAGGGCGACUACACUUUUGGUGAAGCCACGAGAAUGAAAGAUAUCGAAGGUGACACCAAGACAUUAAGCAGCACCAAGGUUUCGAUAUAUUAUAAGAUGGGAUCUUAUGAAAGACGAUCUCUAAUCUCUCUCCAAUCUCUUCUUUAACCUUUUCUUACUUAAAUCCAUUUCCAUGGUAGGGCACAUGUCCAGCUGACCCUACCCCCUCACCUACCUAUACUGCUAUACCCUUUUGUAUAAUUUGAUAUGGAUUGGAAGCCACCCCAACAUCUUUCUAAUUGCUCGUAAAUGUUGAGGUGCCUUUCCAUUUUGAGGCUGCCCUAAUGUGUGGCUGAAGUACGUAGGAAAAAAAAAUUGUGAUACAUGCACUGACGAAUCAAAUCCCAAUGUCAAAUUAUUAGACUCACCUGGUUCUUAAAUUAUUGUGAAUGCCGCUGGCCAUGGAUAAAUGGAAUUAGUGCGUGGCUUAAUGAAAAUUUAUUUUGAAAGGGAUAUUAAUUUGAGAGAAUUUUGGCUGAUACUUGGAGUUGAACGUAAGCAUAUAUGACCUCAUUUCGGGUGUGAUAUUGUGCUUAUAACGAACCUUUCGUUCUUUCCAAUUCCAGUGGGUAUUAAAUAAUUAAAGAAUUCAUGGUUCGAAGGCGAAAGGUAGAAGACCAAAAAGGGAUUACAAAGCCAUCGGCUUGACCAUCCAGAUGCAAUGGAUACAAACUUUGGACUCUAUCGAAAGUUCUUUGGGCACGUGCCCAAGUGUCCUACCCAUAUGAUAAGUUACACGUGGCUAAUUGCGGACCGGUUGCUCGUGCUAAACAGGGUACUUUUUCUACGCAUAUAAGAUGUUUCACUAGUGGGGCUUCACCAUGCAAACUCAUGGAUGAAGACCCUGAGGCCAAGAUGAAGGAACAGAAAGAAGGCGGAGGAGAGGUUCGGUAUCGAGGCGUUCGGAGGCGGCCAUGGGGGAAGUUUGCUGCGGAGAUACGUGACUCGACUAGGCAUGGAGCGCGCGUCUGGCUCGGGACUUUCAAUUCUGCGGAGGAGGCUGCAAGAGCAUAUGACCGAGCUGCUUAUGCCAUGAGGGGUUCCUUGGCGAUUCUCAACUUCCCUAAUGAGUAUCAUACACCCGGCACGGCUAGCUCUUCAGCUUCAUCCUCAAUGCCCGAAGGUGAUCAGCAGGGAAAACAAGUCAUUGAAUUGGAGUACUUGGAUGAUAAGCUGCUAGAGGAUCUUCUCGACUCUGAAGACAAAAAGAACAAGAAAACCUGAAGUUUCUGCUGCCUCGAAUCCCCUGAAAUCUAGUGCUUCAUCGAAAAAAAAUCCCCUCGCUCCUGAUUAACAACAUUUUUAUUUUAGUCAAUGAAUGUGUUCUCGGAUCAUUAUAAGUAUUUCUGCCGAAGUCCAUUGAUUUUUGGAGACUGAAAAAUGUCAGAAAAAUUGGUGCGAACAGGUUUACUCCUUUCUAAAUUAUGCAAUUGAAGUAUUUGGAUUAGUGCGCAGUGUAAACAUCAAGGAAAGCAUGAUCCACUAUUUUAAGGAGCCUAAGUGCUUUCCCCUUUACUCUUUUAGGAUGUCUUUUCAGUGAAGAAAGUUGGGAGACCACCACUUACCCUUUUGAUUGGUAUAUAACUGCCAACUAAUAACUGGACUAACAUUUGGCCCGUCUGGCCCUACUUCUUUGACUUUGUUGUUAAUUUAUAACUUUAUGUGAAGUGGGGGCUGUUUGGGAAUGUGUGAAGCAAGGAUUUGAGCCGACUUCGCCUAAUCUGAUUCUCCAUAAGUGACUUCAUUUUAUCAUAUUGGUGUUUUUUUUCUUCUUCUUUUUAAAUGGCUGGGGAGGAGGGGAUUUGGGAGGGAUGCAAUGCCAUGGUUGCAUGCUGGAUUAUCCUUCCAAAUGAAACAUCCAUUUGGUUUCUAGUAACUAAUUGCAAACAAUUAAAGAGAAUAAAAUUUUAAGAUGAUUAAACAAUAAGUACCUAUGUCCAUGAAAAGGAGAGAAGUUCACUCAUGGGUGUUCAUGAAAGACAUCACAAAGAACCAUCAAUAUGAGAAGAAUCCUGAUACAAUUAACUUUCAUGCAUAAGAAAAGACGCUCAAAAAAGAAUAAUGCUUACAAGGAAAGAAUCUCACUACGAUCAACUGAAAAAAUAUUCCAAUUUAAUUGGAAAUCCUUACAUGGGAAGAAUAUCAAUAAAAUCAACUAAAAAAAUAUUUUAAUUUUAUAUCAAAAUAUUUGUGAUUUAACCCGUAUCAUUUCAUCAUGACUUCUUAUAAAUUUUGUUCCUUUUUAUCAACACCACCCCUUGAGUUGGAGCAUAAAUAUUUAUUAAGCUAACUUGAACAAGAUCUUGAGAAAUUUUGUCGCAGGAUUUGUUUGCACUUUUUUUUUUCAAAUAAAGUCAUAAUUAACUUUAAUAUGUUUAAUCAUUUCAUGAAAUACUAGAUUUUAAGCAAUGUUGAUAGCAUACUUAUGCCUGAAAGCUUUAUCCCAAAUCACAUGAGUACAUGAAGUGAUUGCAUCAUUAAUGGUAGUAUUAUUACUUUAUAUUCAACUUCUCCACUUGAUAGGAUGCAUGAAAGCAUUGUGCUUUCUUCUGUUUCAAGUAAUAAAGAUUAUCACCAAGAAAGGUGCAAUUAAUACCUAGUAACAGAGUACCUAGUGGUAGCAUGCACCUAUCCACUGAACUUGUACUCGACUCUAUGAGUGUACGUUACAUAGUCCUUUUUUCGAAGUCUAAAUGUCCCUUGAUAAAACCUUCUAAUAUUUGAGGUUUUGGUAACAUUCAUGUAUCAAUGAACAAAUUAAUUUACUAGCUAAACUUUAAAAUUAGGCAAUGUUUUUCAAUGGGUGAUCAAGAUCUUGGAAUUUUCAAUGUUGUUUGAAUAGCUUCCACACACAAGCAUAUUUUCUCCUAUUUAGGAAUAAUCCCUUUUUUGAAGGUGUGAUCUUUAUGCUCAAAAAAUAAAGAUACUCAAAAAUUUAAUAUUGACCUUCUCGUGAAGGAAAAGCUUUAUAACUAAUUUUUUUUGUGCAUUAUAUAUAUCCUCAAUAUAGACUUUAAAAAAAAAAGAAGUAACUCCCUCUACAAAGAGUGAAGAGUCAAUUAAACUUUUUUUUUUUUAAAAAAAAGGAACCAAUUACUCGUAAAAGUAAUGAUUAUUUUUACAUACCAAACUUGAGGAGAUUACUUAAGAUCACAAAAGUUUUUAUUAAAUUGCAAGCUAGAUGCAUUUGAAACGAUCGUUGAUGUCUUAGCAACACCUUAUGUAACUCAUCAAUCUUUAUGUAAAAAUGCAUUUUUAACACCCAUAUAAAAUAAUGAUCAAUCCUAAUUUAAUAGAAACAAAUGGUAAUACAUGAAUAUCAUUCAUAUUAAUGAGAAAAGUAAAUAUUGAUUUAUAAUCAACUUCUUAAGUUUGUGUCAAUGCCUUAAUCAUUAGUUUAACUUUGUCAUUCAAUGAUACCAUCAUUACGACAUUUAAUUAACUUAGAUUUGCGUAAAUCCCUUAAUCACUAGUCUAGCUUUAUGUCAUUCAAUGGUACCAUCAUUAUGGUAUUUAAUUGAUCUUAUACCCCCAAUUUGUAUACCCCAUGUUUUUCUUAAUUUACCAUACAUCACUUAACAAUGUUCCAUGCAUGGAUUUUGUUAAGUGCCUUAAGUUCCUUUUGCAUAGCCUUUCUCCAAAUUGGAUGAGGAUUGGCUUCAUUAAUGUCAUUAGACUCAUGAUAUAUGGAACUCAAACAAUUGUUAAGUGAUUUUGUAUAUAUAUAAAAAAAAAAUUGUAAUUAAUGUGGUAGGCAUAAAAAUCUCACAAAUGAGGAUUGAUUAAUUGUUAUAAUUGAGCAACAUGCUUGAGGCUUAGUCACAAUACUAGAACUUGAAGUCAGACAUUCUCUUCAAAUAAGGACGUAUAUACAUUAUAUUGGAUCUCCAUUAAACAAGUAAAGAACUAUUUAGUAGACAAUGAAACCUCAUUGAUCAAUGGUGGUAGAGAGACACAUGAUGACCAGACUAUUCCCCUGGAAAUGAGAAUAAAAAAUAUCAUUAGCCGCAAAAAUCUCAAAAAAAUUUAGAUAAUGGGAUAUAAAGAGUUUAUGAAUUUUACAAUCAUAACUCUUAUACUGGUUUAAGUGGUAGAGUAAUCAAGAACACAAAACGAGUUUGAUGAGUGGUUGAGAUAUGAACAAAGCAAAGAUUUCCAAAGACACCAAAAUCAGAAAUCUCAAUUUUUGGGCUAAGGAUUUCAAGAAGAAAUUUAAAAUUAACUACAUGACUAGAAAAUUUGUUCAUCAAGGAAAUAGAAGUAACGAUAUCAUAACAUCAUAAUUAAUCAAUAUUUUUAAUAACAUGCAUUUGGAACAUGAUAUACCGGCUUUCUAAUAAUCAAUGAUUUUUGGUUCAACCACACCAUUUUGUUUUGGGAUGCCAAUACAACAAGUUUAACGAANNNNNNNNNNNNNNNNNNNNNNNNNNNNNNNNNNNNNNNNNNNNNNNNNNNNNNNNNNNNNNNNNNNNNNNNNNNNNNNNNNNNNNNNNNNNNNNNNNNNAUGUAAGUGCCAAAUUAGGUAGUGUCGACAAUGAAAUGGAAAUUUUGGAAUAUAGAAACAACCUCAUUUUUAUGUUCUAAUAAGUAAACCUAUGUAGCAUAAGAAUAGUCAUUAAAAAAAAAGGUAACAAAAUGUUGAUUUCCAUCCUAUGGAUCAAUUAGGACACAACCCCAAGGUAAACUAAUUUGAAAGUUGCAACAAAAAUGGAAAGAGAUGAAAAAAUAAUAGAGGAAUUUAAGGUUGUUUCAAAAUUUCAAGACAUGCUAAGAAACACAUGAGAUUAUAGAUGAUUAGGUAACAACCUUGGUUAAGUAUAUUCAACAUAUAUAUCCCACGAGGAUAAAUAUCUUCACUAAACUUUUCCUAUUAUUCAAUCCCCUAAUACCAUACAAGUGAAAAAUUAAUGUCACGGUCAAAAAUUUUAAUAAGCUUCCAAAGAGAUAAUAAUUUUGGGGAAAAAAACAACCUAAGAAACCUAUGAAUUGAGAUAAUUUAGGAAAAAACUAAAUGUUCGUUAGCUCUAGAAGGGAAUUGAAGCUCAUCAUCAAUAAAGAUUGUUGCUAUCUCGAAUAAUAUCAAGUAAACCAUUAAGAUCGCUAUUAAUGGUAUGAUUAGCAGCACCAAUUAUCGACAAAAAAAUUAUUAAAAAUAUAAGAAAUGAGAGCUUUAAGAUUAUCUAAUUGAUUUGUAAACCUAGGUAAGUGAAUCAGUAUUACGUUUUGUUAAGGAAGCUUAGAUCCAAUUGGUAUCAUUCACCAAGUUAUUGGAUUAAAUUACACUAUCAAACUUUGGCUUUAAAUGAGAAUGAAGAAUCUAACCACAAUCCUUAUUGGGAUUAGAUAUGUUAUUGCAAUAAUGUUUACAAUCGGAUGAGUGCUAAUUUCUAUUGAAAUCAUGAAGCAAUCUCUGAUCAUUGGUCUUCUUUGUAGAAACAUGAGCAUUGAAUUUAAAAUUAAUAAUUGUUACUUGGGAUUCAACCUUCAUAAUCAUUGCCUGGGUUUCCUAAUCACUUUCAAGAAUUACUUAUAUAGUGAAGGCACUCGAAACUAAUCAAAUUUGUCCUCUUAUAAAGUUGUCAUAUUCAAGCUUCAGAAUAGCCAAUAAUUGAAAAACUUAUCAUACUCCGCAAUUUGUUGAAGAAUAUUUGGGUCUAUUGAAGGGGACAAUAUAGGGAAUAUUUGUCCCAUAUGCUCAAAAUGUUCAAUUAACAAAGUGUUCUGUAUGUUUAGGGAUUUGUUAGCUUUAAUUACACAAAACAUUAGCAGUUUUAGAGAAAAUUAAUUUUUUUUUGCAAUCUUAGGUUCCAUGAAAUUAAAAAGCCAAUAACAAGUCAAUAUGGCUUGAGACCCAGUCAUCAUAUUCAAAGUCAUCCAACUUAGAAGCAUUCAUUUUGCCACUAACAUGUGCUAAUUUCCAUUUUCUAUCUUUCAAGAGAAAAAGACUGCUCUUAACCAUGGCAAAUAAUUGAACCCAUUAAGAAGAUUGAGGAAAGUAUCAUAUGAGGGUUGUCAUUUUCCUCCAUGACAAAGAAAAAGCAACAGAGAAAAACUCAUAAUAUUAGAAAGAGAAUGAAAGAAAUUGAGUCAUAGAUACACACAGAAGAAUCCAAAAAUAAAGCAAUAAUACAACCACAAAUAUGAGAAGAAGCUCAAUUACAAAGAAAGGAACUCAAUACAAUCAACUAAAAAGCGUUCCGAAGUUCAUACGAAAAUAUUCAUAAUGUGAAGAUCAUUUCAUGAUUCCUACAAUUUCUUCCUUCUACCAGUCCACUCCAUACAAGGUUUGAUCAACAACUUCUUCAUUGAUUUUCUGGUCUCUCUCCGGUGUAUCAUAGAGCAUUUUUGACAUGUUUCUGCAAGAUACACUUGUUAACUUUAAGCGACAUAAGUGCAAAAAAAUAAGAUCAUGUUGUAUUGCCUGUGCUUCCACUCUGCCUUGUUUAGUACUAUUAUGGAGCAGUACUUCCAUAUAGAACCAGUGAUCUCCAGUUCAUUAUGUUGCCUUCUUUAAACUAACUUUAAUUAUCUAUACAUAUAAAACAAAGUGGUCCCAUCAAGGGGCUAAAUCAAGAAUCAAGUGGGGCGAACAGGAAACAGUGGCAUCAAUUUUUAAGUCCAUAAGCUUUAAUAAAAGGAAUAAAACCAAGGAUAUGAAUAUGUUAUUUUUUCAUUUGUUCAUGCACUGGAAGAUCUUUCCUCUUCAAGCAUUGAACCAGCAUCCUUCUGUGCAAGUUGCUGUCGGAACCUUCUAUAAUUGUCAGAAGUCUGUUUCUGAAAUAUACAGAUAAAACUUUUAGCAAGUCUUGACAUUGCUCAUCACUAGGACAUUGUACUAGGAUACCAAUUCAUCUAAUUAGGGUUAAGUUGGCAUCUCGUACACUAUUUUUUAUUUUUCCUUCAUCUUUUGUUCCCAUUUGCAGUGGAAGUGGCACUUAGAAUAUCUGAUCAUGAAGAAUUAGCUUUCGGUGAGAUGAUACUAGGUCAAUUGCCAUUAUCUUUUUGAGUUACUGUGCGAGCAAUCUUGAAAAUAUUUUGGGAUAAAUAGAAUUUGUGCUUAUCAUAAACAUGCUAAACAUCCAAAUCAAGUGCUUUUACUAUUGAUAUCAAAUCAGUAAUUGAUUUUAACCUUUAUGCUUAUCUUUCAGAUUCUCAAUUAUGUAUCUUGAAUAAUGAUAUUAAGCAGAAAUCAUGAAUUGAAUUGCUUUAAUUAACUGUGCCUUAUCAAGCUUGUCAGCAGUGCUAUUGCUACCGCGAAUCAAAUUCGCUGUGCUUCCCGCCUUCUCCAAAUAAGCCACAAGCCCAAUUAUAUCCGCCCUCCUCCCAUCUCCAAGGGAUCAAAAAAUAAAAUGACUUCAAUCAAUUUUCAAGUUUUCCAUCUUGAUCAGUAGACCACCCGGCAUGAAUGUUACCCUCAGUUUAGGAAUAGGAAUUCCUUUUACUAAUCAUUUGGCACUAAAAACUAUGACCCCUAGCAAUUCAUUCCCUCCAUUAGAUAUCUGGGGGCAUCUUGGCUCAGCCAAAAAUGAUAAGUCAUUGCAUUUCACAUUGCAUUCAUUUGUAUUAAUGAGCUAAUUUUUUUUCACAGAAUGUGAUGUGAAUCGAAUUACUUCCAACCAUGUGUCUCUAUAAGGGUUUAACAAAUGUAAUUUGCAUUGUCUGUACACUUUUUUUUCGGUUUCUUUUCUUUUUUAUGCAUGAUUCAUUAGUCCACGGAUCUUCUAUGCAAAGUGUGCAGGCCAAACACCUCCUUCAAUGCAUUAUUCUAGAAGUUAAGACUCAGUUUACUCCUUAAUUGAUCUGUUCCAUUUACUUCAAAUCAUUUGAUUACAUUAAAUGAAUCUUGAAAUUCAAAAAUGCAUCAAAGUUAAAAGACCUUCCAAUGCAUUAAGAAAUCAUCUGAUACAAAUAUAUGUGAACCUGCAACAACAAUAAUGUCAAAAUGGAAAACUUAGGUAGAAAAUAUUAGAACGGAAACUUACGACGAACUCAAUUUUUGGCGCCUUUCUUCUUCUCAUCUUCUGAUCCAAGAAGCUCUUCCAACACCGUGUCAUCCAAACACUCGAACUCAAUGACUUGCUUUUCUUGCCCAGAAGAGGAACCUCCCAUCUCUAAACUCCUACAAGGCCCAGAAGAUGACGAGGAAGACGAUGAGGAUGGUGAUGGUGGGGGGCGAUGGGAGCCCAUGAUUUCAGAAUAGUACUCAUUAGGAAAGUUAAGAAUGGCAAGAUGACCCCUUAAGUUAAAGGCCGCUCGAUCAUAGGCGCGAGCUGCAUCCUCCGCCCUGUCAAAUGUGCCUAGCCAUAGACGAGCACCUUGCCUAGACGGAUCCCUAAUCUCGGCUGCAAACUUCCCCCAUGGCCUCCUCCUCACCCCUCGGUAUCGAACUUCUUCCUUUUCCUUCCCUUCCUGCUCCUGCUUCUCAUUCCCUUUCGAAUGAUCUUCCAUGCUAAACGUGUCGAUUUGCUAGGCGCAAUUUUUUUGGUUUCAAAUGUGCUGGUUUACGAGAGGCAUGGAUGCUUAUGUAUAUAUAUGGUUGCCACAGUCAGGUCUGACGUCACCGCUCAAUGUAUGUUCCACAGCGUGGGUUGACGAGCUUUCUGAGGGGGUUUCCUCGAAUUCAAAGCAAGUAUAAAAAUUCGAUUCUCCGACCUUUCCAAUGAGGAUCGAACAGGCCUUUUAUUAGAACCGUAUGAUAACUCCACACUGUUUUCAAAUAGUCAAUGUGAUCUAGAUUCUUCGUUAAUUUUUUCCACCUGACUGAUUGUUUACAAUUUUAUUUUUCACCGUCCCAAAUUUAAACCAUUUACGCGAUUCCCUGGAUUGCAUUUUUCUUUAAUGUUGACUUUACGAGGCAAUAGGACCCCCCAGCAACCCCACUAGGGCGACUUCAUGGGAACCAGAUUACUUUUGGAUCCAGAUAUGGUCCAGAAGAAAUAAGACAAAUCAAUUAAUGUCCACUAAAGUUUUGAUGGAACCCUUAGUCCGUGUUUCCUGUGGAUGUAUGUAUUGUAUGCACCUCAAUUUUCACCAAUCCCUGCUACGAGUCCCUUUAAUUUUGACGUUAUAAAUGUUUUUCCUGACAUUAGCAGAGUGUUUUUCUGCCGUCUUUGAGGACCUUCCACGGCCCAUAAACUAAUAAGGAUCGUCCAGUGAAUUUAGUCUUCCCCAGUUAAUUAUCCUGCGAGGGAAACUUGGGCAGUAAGUUGCCUACAUGAGUGGCUCCCGCCUACAUGAGUCAAGGGACCAUACGUCAGGACGACAACCAGUGUGGUCACACCAAAGUGGGUUGCCUGGACUCCAGGGUGGUCGCUUCAAAGUUGUCAAAUGAAGGCUAGCUUGGCAAGUUUUGGAAAACAAUUAUUGAAAAACAUUUUUCAUGAAUAACAGUUUCUAUGAACAGAUUUUAAGAAAGUUUAUUUUGUGAUUUUUAGGAAUAUUUUUAAUUUAAAUUUUUAUAUUUUUAAUUUUUUAUUAAUUUAUUGAUUAUUUAAUAUUAGCUUAAUUAAUGGAUUUUUCUUGGUCCCAAAUUAUUAAUUUAUCAAGAUUUAAUCGCAUCCAUAAUUAGUCUAAUUUCUUUUGGAGUGAGUGUGACAAAGUGCAAAUUUCUAGAGUUUUAUUAAUGUUAUUCAAUGUCAUAAUUUAACUAAUUAUAUUAAUUAUUUAUUAAUCAAAAUAAAUCAUUCACUUGAAAUAUGAUAAUUUAAAUUAAAAGUUUCAAUUAUUUAUUAAUUAGCAAAGUAUGAACUUUUCUUCUUGUUUUAUUAUUGUUAUUCCAUGUAUAUAAUUUAAUUAACUGUUUCCAAUAUUAAUCAAUAAAAAUAGAAUAUAAGCAUGAGAAGAAUUAGUAAAAUUCAUUGAUUUGGAAUUAGAUAGCUAGAGGAAGAACUUCAUCAUCUUCCCAUUACUUAAAUUUGUAUAAAUUCUAAAUAUUUAAACCCCCCCCCCCCCCCCCCCCCCCAAAAAAAAAAAAAAUGGUAAAGAAAGACUCCCCAAGCUUUCUUGGUUGGUGUUACCCUAAAAUUUGUACAAUAAGAUGAACCAUUUGGCUUAAAGCUUGGUGCGAAACCCCUUAUCAAUUGAAAAUAUCAAUGAAGUUGUUGAAUGGUUUUAGAGGACUAUUCUUAUGCAGAGUGGCAUAAGAAGCGAGGAGAUGAAGAGCGGAGAGACGUUAACAUCGGAUGCUGCUACGAAGGUGGGAAUACGGUUAAUUAAUUAGAUUUUGUGAUGGCUUUGAGUUUGAAGGAGUUAGUUUAAUGGGUAUUAUUAGUGAACUGAUAAUUGGAUUUGAUGUAAAGAAGGUUGGUCCAUUGGAUUAGCAAUUGGUUUGGCCUUUUGGGGGCCCCAUUUCCAAAUGCAUUGCCUUUUACAAGCAUUCAACAUCGCUGGACGUAACCAGGCUUGGUUCACCUAAAAGUAUCGCAUGGAUUGAAUUGACUAAGUUUUCAUUGUAGACUAGCCUUGAUUUUCCCUUGACCUGCCCACCAAAUCCUGAUGCCCACGCGAGGGAAUACCUCAAUUUUCUAAUAAUUUAUGCAGUUUCUCUUCAAAGCUCGUGUGAUCACUUGGGUCGGUAAAAUAAUGCAUUCCUCUACUUUUUCUCCCUUCCUAGAUGCAUGUUAUACCAUUAAUUCAAAUGUGAACAUGGGCUUGGCUUUGAAACUUGGUUCAAGGCCCAACAUGUUGACCCACAAUUGAGGUGUAAUUGAAUUUGUACACUUUUCGACUUUGAUACCAUUUGUCAUUACCAUUGACAUUGGGUCAUUGUUGAUUUUGAGUCCACAACUUUUAAGGUUGUUAUUACAAUUUUAAAUUGCGCCCACCCAAUUUAUAUGCAUUAUCCCUUAUAAAUACCGAUAACCUCUCUUUCUUCGAUAAUAUAAAAUGUCACAUAUAUUAUAUAUCUCAAUGUUUUCUUUUACUUUUUUUUUUUUUAUCGAUCGACAUUCUCUCUCAGAUGAUAUGAGAUGUCACAUAUAUUAUAUGUUUCAAUGUUUCUUUUACUUUUUCUCUUUUUCCUCAUGAUUGACAUUGUCUUUCUCAAAUGAUAUGAGUUGUCACAUAUAUUUUAUGUCUCAAUGUUUUCUUUAACUUUUUUUCUCUCUUCUUUAAUGAUCGACGUUCCUUUUCUCAGAUGAUAUGAAAUGUCAUAUAUAUUAUAUGGCUUAAUGUUUUCUUUUACUUAUUCUUUCUUUAUUAAUAAUCGACAUUUUAAGCAAUAUGUGAAUAUAAAGCAUUAAAAUUAUCUCCAUCGUUUUUGGAUGUGGUAUAAAUACACAAUUCUUAUUUUUGUUUUAAAUAUUUCUAUUGCUAUCUAUUGAAAUUUUAUGCAUGAAGCUACCAAGUUAAUUAUACAUAUAUCUUAAGAUUUUUUUUUUUUUUUUUUAUAGGAUAUAUUGUCCAUGAAUAUUUUCUGCAAUGGUAUCUUGUUUGAUUACUAUAAGAAAUAAUAUAUAUAUAUAUAUAUAUAUAUAUAUAUAUAUAUAUAUAUAUAUAUAUAUAUAUUAUAUUUCAAUGUUUCAUAUUUGCUUAAAAUAAAAAUUAUAUUUUAUCACAAUAUUUGGUAUUAAAAAAAAUGAAAUCUCUCUCAUUUAUUAUUACAAAAAAAUUAUAAUUUAUAAUUUUCUAAAUAAGUUUUAUUUAUUUGCUAACUAUAUUCAUGAUUAAAAGAUUUAAAAUUUAUAAAUAAAAAAUAUUAUGUCAUGUCAUUAAAUAAAUAAAAAUAUAUGUAUAUAUUAAAAUUAUGUUUUAUUGUAGCUUUUAAUAUUUUUUUUUUUAUUCUUUUCUUUUUUGAACUACAAUUUUAAUUUUUUUUAAUCAAAAUUUUUUAAUUUACAAAACGAGUAACAUAAAACUUGCCUUUGAACUUUAUUGGAAUGUUAUAUACUACCAUUUGGCUUUCAAGACAUUAGAAAAGGCAUAAGUGUCCCUUUUAUUUUUCCGAAAGGCAUAUUAGACUAUAGUAGGAAGUGUUGUAUAGAGGCAACUAAAAGUUGCCUUUAACUUUAUGAAGUCAUAUACUCCUCUUUGGCUUUGAUGACAUCAACUAGCAAAUUGGAUUUUGUUUCCUUUGCAACAUUUUUCCAUCCAUUAGCCAGUUUUUUUAUACUGUUUGGUGCUUGCCAACAUGGCACACACUAUGGUUCUUAAAAAGUAUUUUUUUUUUUAAGAUACUACGAAAUAAAAUACACGAUUGAAAGAUGAGUCACAAUAAUUUUCAAAACUAAAUUUUUUAAUAUUGUUAAGAAAAUUUGACCACCAAAUGAUUGAUUUUAAAUUACAAAUACUUUUGUUAGCUAAGAAAUUUGUUGUUCUAUUUGUUUCCCUAUAAAUAUGACAACAAUCAUAAAUAUUUUCAUUUUAAGAUAAUUUUCAAAUAUCUUCCAUUAAUAAUAUAAUAGAAUUAGGAAUUUUUUUUUUAGUUAUAACAAUCUAUAAUUAUUUAAGAGUCUUCCUCAAUCUCUAGGUUUAAGAACUUAUUGUUCUUAACAACUAACAUGUCAUCUCUUAAAAUAAUACAUUCUGCAAUAAUUAUUGAAAUAUGAUAUAAUAUAUAUAUCUACUUACAACCAUUUUUGUAGUACCAUUAGAAUUUUUAAUUACCCAUUCUAAAGUAUUUUUAUUCUCUAUUCUUAAACCAUCAAAAUUUAAUUUAAAUCUUUCAUUAAUUGGAUAAAUCCAAUGAAUCUAACAAGUUAAAGGAUUAUGAAUCCGACAAAACAGUUGAUAAUAAAUUAAUAAUGCCAUUAAUAUGAUUUUAAUGUGAAACACAAUUAUCACAUUUAAUACAGUUAGUCCUUGUAUGAUUAAUGUUUUGGAAGCUAAAAUCAAUCUUUUGACUAUAAUAAGAGUUUCUACUAUUUCUAUUUUUGGAUGAUUUUAUAUUUUUCUUAUUGUUUUAGUUUAAUACAAAAAAUAAAAAUAAAAUUACAUUAGUAGAAUUUUUUUAACUUACUCAAAAACCUAUUUUAGUUGAAUGAUUUUUUUAAAAAAAAUAUAAAUAUUUUGUUAAAAGGGAUAAAAUAACCUUACCUUGUGAAAAAGACCUCUUCACCCAAGAUUACUUGUUCAUAAUCCUUUUAAGACGAAAAUGCCCCCUUCCUAAAAAAUAUUUCAUCUUAAACUUAUUUUUCUUUUUAUUGCCCUUUGUUCCAUCCUUCCGGCUUGGGAGAGAAAUUCAUUCUUCUUUUGCGAAGAAAAAUUCCUAUUGCGAUUUUUCAUUUCAAGUGGAAAAAAAAAUUCUUAUUUCAUUUUAAAGAAAUUGUACAUUUUCAAUCUUUCUCUUUGUUCCUAGUUGAGGGUUUUUUUUGUAAUUUUAUCUUAACACUACAAAUUUAAAGGUGAGAUUAAAUCUUAAUGGUUAUUAGUUAAAUCACAUAUCUAACUUUGUUUUUGUCAGGACCUAUAAUAUGAUUGGAACCACCAUCCAAACUUCAUUAGGUGGGAUACUCCCCACCCUCCCCCUCCCCCCGCGAAAUCCUUGGAUUUUAGUUUUGACUUGGAUUUCAAUUGCCCGUAUCAAUUUUUCUUUAUUUAUUAAUUUAUUAAUUUUCAACUUUAACAAAAGCCUUGAAUCAUAUUUAAAUUCAAAUAACUUAAUCCUAAUUAAGUUCUUUUUAAAUAAAAAUUAAUCAUUGAAAAGUUCAUGUGACUAUUAUAAUUGAGAAUUUAUCCCAAGUUGGGUUUUUUGCAAAUAAAAUUUUAUUAUAGGACAUCAUGAUGCAACAUAACAUAAGGUUGUUACUUAAGUUUGUUUUGACCUUGUAAUAUGUUAAAAUGAAAAUGAAGCCAUUGUAACAGGAGAGAAUGAUGAAGCUGUGGAGAGAGCUUAACAAAGCUUGGGUUGGAGAGACUUCACAGGAAGAGAGAGAGAGAAAUAAAGGGUAAAAUUAUCAAAAGAGAAAAGAAAAAAAAAAAAAAAAAAGAAGGUUAUGUCUUCAAAUAAUCAAUAAGAGAUGUCAUUUUUCUAAUUUUCAAAGUUCUUUUGGUCCUUCUCUACAAAUAUCCCUAUAAAAAUAUUAUAAUAUCAAGUUAAUUUGUCAAUACCAAAAUUUAUAUUUUAUAUUAGGGCGACUAAAUAACAUAUAGAAAGAAUUUUAAAUGAGUAAAUCAAAUCAAUUUUGAAACCAAAACUUAAUAAUUACCAAACUUGUAAUCUUAGUCAUUAAAAGUGUACGAUGAAAUCUAAAUUAUUAAGCAAUGAAACAAAAAAUUAAGAUUAAAAUACAAAACGUUAAAAUCAAGAUACAAACUAUUAAAAUGUAAGUGGGAUAUGAGAUGAUAUUAUAAAAAAUAGUGUGAUCCAACAAAAAGUCUAGUACAUCAUUAUCUUCACUUCCAACCAUGUUUAAAAGGUCACAAGUUCUAGCGGUUUCCAAGGACAAUGUUAAAAAUAAUAAAAAUAAAUCCAAUUAAAUAUUAAUUAAUUUAUUUGAAUUUGAGUCCGACAAAAUAGUUGGUAAUAAGUUAAUAAUGCCAUUAAUAUGAUUUUAAUGUGAAACACAAUUAUCACAUUUAAUACCCGUUAGUCCUUGUAUGAUUAACUUUUUAGAAAUUAAUAUCAAUCUUUUGAUUAUAAUAAGAGUUUCUACUAUUUAUAUUUUUGGAUGAUUUUAUAUUUUUCUUAUUGUUUUAGUUUAAUACAAAAAAAUAAAAAUAAAAUUACAUUAGUAGAAUUUUUUUUAACUUAUUCAAAAAACCUAUUGUAAGGUGAAUGGUUUUUUUAUUUUUUUUUUAAAUAUAAAUAUUUUCUUAAAAGGGAUAAAAUAACCUUACCUUGUGAAAAAAGGCCUCUUCACCCAAAUUUACUUGUGCAUAAUCCUUUUCAGACGAAAAUGCCCCCUUCCUAAAAAAUAUUUCAUCUUAAACUUAUUUUUCAUUUUUAUAACCCUUUGUUCCAUCCUUAUGAUUUGGGAGAGGAAGUCAUUCUUCUCUUGUGAAGAAAAAAUUCCUACUGCCAUUUUUCAUUUCAAGUGAAGAAAAAUAUUUAUAUUUCAUUUUAAACAAAUUGUACAUUUUCAAUCUCUCUUUGUUCCUAGUUGAGGUUUUUUUUUUUUUUUUUUUUUUUUGUAAUUUUAUCUUAAUUGUACAAAUUCGAAGAUGAGAUUAAAUCUAUAAUGGUUAUUGGUUAAAUCACUUAUCUAACUUUGUUCUUGACAGAUCGUAUAAUAUGAUUGGAACCACCAUCCUAACUUUAUUAGGUGGGAUCCCUUUUUUUUUUUCCCCAAACCCUUGGAUUUUAGUUUUGACUUAUAUUUCAAUUGUCUGUAUCACUUUUUCUUUAUUUAUUAAUUUUCAACAAGUUCUUUAACAAAAGCCUUGAAUCAUAUUUAAAUUCAAAUAACUUAAUCCCCAUUAAGUUCUUUUUAAAUGAAACUUAAUCAUGUGAAAGUUCAUGUGACUAUUAUAAUUGAGAAUUUAUUCUUAGUUGGGUUUUUUGUAAAUAAAAUUUAGUUAUAGGACUGUGAUGAUCCGUUCUCAACCGUAUAAAUAUUGUUCGUUUUGAAUUCAAAAUAACUUUUACGGCUUUAAAACAUGUUUACAAGAUUAAGAGGAGUCCAUAUUUAUAUAGCUUCACGAACUUUCCCCCCUAUUCGAUGUGGGAUGUCACAAGGACAUCAUGAUGCAACGUAUAACAUAAGAUUGUUUCUUAAGUUUGUCUAACCUUGUAAUGUGUUAAAAUGAAGAUGAAGCCAUUAUAACAGAAGAGAAUGAUGAAGUUGUAGAGAGAGCUUAACAAAGCUUGGGUUGGAGAGACUUCAUAGGAAGAGAGAGAGAGAGAGAGAGAGAAAUAAAGGGUAAAAUUAUCAAAAAAGAAAAAAGAAAAAAAAGAGGGUGAUGUCUCCAAAUAAUCAAUAAGAGAUGUCAUUUUUCUAAUUUCAAAGUUCUUCUGGCCCUUCUCUACAAAUAUCCCUAUAAAAACAUUAUAAUAUCAAGUUAAUUUGUUGAUACCAAAAUUUAUAUAUUAUAUUAGGAUGACUAAAUAACAUAUAGAAAGAAUUUUAAAUGAGUAAAUCAAAUCAAUUUUGAAAUCAAAACUUAAUACCUACCAAACUUGUAAUCUUAGUCAUUUAAAGUGUUCCAUGAAAUCUAAAUUAUUAAGCAGUGAAACAAAAAAUAUAAGAUUAAAAUACAAAACGUUGAAAUCAAGAUUCAAACUAUUAAAACGUAAGUGGAGACGUAAGAUGAUGUCAUAAAAAAUAGUGGGAUCCAACAAAAAGUCUAUUAAUCAUUAUCUUCACUUCCAAUCAUGUUUAAAAGGUCACAAGUUCUAGCGGCUUUCAAGGACGAUGUUAAAAAUAAUAAAAAUAAAUCCAAUUAAAUAUUAAUUAAUUUAUUUGAACAAUAGAUAGGACCAAAAUAAUAUUCUAAAAGGAAUCAUAGGGAAGUCCUUGGACAACCUACGACAUUGAACAAAGGUACAGUGAGACAAUGCACUUAGCCCUUCCUUGUCAUUGCGAUGAAUAUAAAAAGACACCCUGAUUGAGGGUGCCCCACUAAGCCAAGAGUGAUUCUUUUGUAUUGUAUAACGUGAAUAUUUUUGAACUUUGAAUGACCCUUCCUAUAGUCAUCAUUGUCAAAACUAGAAAAUCAGAAAGAUGCGAUGUACGAAGGCACCAUUGAAUAAGAGGCUUAAUUCUCUUUGGCAAUUAGGAUAAAGUUUCAAAAUAGAAAAAUUAAACAAAUGUACAGUGUACGGACACUUGGGCAUUGCCUAUUUGUUUUGUUCUUCUAGAGUUGUAUAUGGUAAAGGUCAUAUUGGGUUGGUUCUAUUUGGUUAUUGAAGUCGGCUAGAAUAUUAGAUUUGGUUUCAAUCUAAUCCCAUAUGAUAUUAGAAUACCAGCCCAUACAGAAUUUUUGACCAAAUAUAAUAUUUCUUUUAAAUAUAAAUAUAGUAAUUAAUUUUAGUCUAAGAUUAAUUAUGUAGUUUCCUAAAGAGACCACUUCCUAAACGGUAGCUAUGUGGAAGUUGGGCCAGGUCCUGCCGAGAAGGUUUCCACGAGCUGAGCCCAAAACUGAGUAGCUGUGAUGGGAUCAUUCUAGCAUUCAGCCUGAAACUUGUAACAUAACGGAUCGAGAGGCCUGAACUCCAAGACCAUGGUUCGUCAGCCCAUUAACUUCAACAGCACGCAUUUUAGAGGACUGGGCUUGCAAGGGGUGAGGUUUCCGGGCCGCGACCCCAAAUAUGAACAGCCUCAGAAGUGAUAUUGCUUACUGGCACGUGAAGAGCGCAAGCGUAACUAGAAGAUUUGUAAUGCCGCUUUAAUUGUUUGAUUAUAGAAUCCCACGCAUUACGCAUGGAAAGUGUAAAAGAUAAAAGAUGUAGAAUUUUUUCUUAGAGAAAAGUUCGUUUGGAUAUAGUUAUUGUUUUUUUUUUAAAUAAUAAUUGUUUUUUUUAUAAAUUAUAGAUAAUCUUAGAAAUUUAUCUUUAAAAAAAUAGUUUUUAAAAAUAUUUAAGGAGAAUAAAAGUGAUAAAAAAAAACUUUACAAUUUCAAAUUUUUAAAAAAUGAAAAUUAUUUUUAAGAAUAUAAGUUAAUCUCCUGCAUUUAAAUCUUAGGUGGUUUUUGUUUUUUUUACUUUUCGCUGAAAACAAUUUGUUUUCAAAAUUUAGGUCAUUUGUUUUUUCUAUUUUUUCAUGAUUUAUUAUAAAUUUUUUACUAAAUAAAAAAAAUCAAAAUAUGUAACUUUUUCUAAAUAAAAAAAAUAACGUAUUGAUUUUUCUUUACUUUUUAAUACUUAAUAGAUAUAAAAUACUACAAAAACAAAAAAUCUAAUAUUUAACACUAUUAAGCAUUAAAGUUCUAUUUAGAAUUAAGUAAAAAAACAAACACCACCUUAUAUUUUAUAUAAAAGUUACUUAUAUUUUGGUUUUUGGAAAUAAAAAAUAUAAAGCAUAUCCAAACAUGAGCUUAGCUAUUUUAAAUCAUAUCAAAAUAAUAAUCCCAAUAAGGUAAAUGGACUUUUAUACGGAGAAUAAUCUUUAAGGUUUUCAUUUUUAUUGGAUUUUUUUUUUGUGGUGUUUUUUCAAUCCAUCUUCUCAAUUAAUUCCUUAAAAUUAUUUUACUGUUUUUUUUUUUUUCAGUUUCUAAAUAUUUGAUUUUUCCAAAAUGCUUAAAUGGAAGACACUAAUUUUUCAAGAUAUUUGGUAUUACAAUUUUCCCUGUUCUCCCUAUUAUCUAUCAGAUUCAUGGCCCUUUUGUUUUUUCAUUGGUUUUCAAUUUAAUUUUCCAAAUAUUACAUUGUUGUGUUUUGAAUUUGUGAAACCAAUUUUAUAUAUAUAUAUAGUAUGUAAGUCUACUUUGGGUAACAUGUACAGAGAGGUUUUCAUGUGUUUGAAACCUUUUACCUCAAAAAUUAAUUAUUUUUAAUUUUAUAAUAAAUCUUUUUUUAUUUUUUAUUUUAUUUAGGAAAGCCUAUAUUUAAACUACAUGUUUGCAACGCAACACCAUACAUACUCCUAGUGGAACUUACCUUAGUGCUUGAGGGGGAUGCAGAUCUUCUUCUAAACCUAACUAAUAAGCAUAAAAUUGUUCACUAAUUAGCAUAUCUAGUAAAUCAUACAAAUUGGCAAUAUUUCAUGUUUUUCAUGUUUUGUCAAUAAAAGGCGUCUUGACCAUUUUGUGAGUUUUGUAAUAAAUAAAAAAAAAAAAAAAAAAAGGGCAAAAGGUGACUAAAAUGAGGCACUUUGGAAAGGUUAAUAACCUAAAAGGAAGAUGAAUUAAUACCCCCUUAUUCCUCUUCAAAAACCAUUGAGAAAAUGCAAGAAAUGCUCUUAGUUGUAUGCUAGGCUAACAGCCUAGCAACCAUAAUACCCUUCUUUGCAAUUGUAAGCAUUUUUUUUUUUUUUUUGAAGGCCAAACAACGUUGCAAACUUCCCAAAUCCCUUCUUUAUUUUUUAUUUUUUUAUUUUUGUUUUUAGAAGGAGAAUGAAUUUGAUGACAAACUCCUUGUCAAUCUUAUCCAAACCACGAUCGAACAGAACUCCUUGUCAAUCUUAUCCAAACCGUGUUCCACCUCAAAAACAUGUGUAGGACUUAAGGCAGCAACUGGCAAGCAUGACUGAUAGGGCCAAGUGCCCUUGUCUCUACAAUCCAUUAAGUUAACCAAGGGCAGUGAACCAUCAUUCUUUUCAAAAGCUUCAUUCCGUGUUGAAAAUGUGAGACUGAAGCAUGGUGCCCCCAAAAAUAACGAUCUAUUUACUAGCAGCAUGCCUGGACCCAUUAAAAAUACUCUACUUUAGGAAUAGAAAAAAUUACAUCUUUAUCCAAUAAUUUUAUAACAAUUCAGACGUUUCAGUCUAUAAAUAAUUGUACAUAGUUGCCAACGUUUAGCUAGUUUCAAAUGAAUAGCCUAGGUUCAUGCACCAGUUUGGCUGGUGGAGGAAAGGGAUUCGAGACAUUGAACCCUCUUUUUAGUGUGCCAAAUAUUCCACAAAAAUCACUACCUUCUCUUUGUGUUUGUUCACUUUUAGUUUAUAUUUAAUAAAUCUAUGUUUUCGAGUAGAGGUUGGGUUCAGGUGCGACCCACGUCACCUCUCGGACGGUCUUGAAAAAGGAGACCGGACCACGUAAUUUCAAAUGUAGUGACCAUCUCACUUUUACCUCCAUCCUUGAAGAUGGUUUCCCAAAUCAAUAUUAAUCUUUUGUUUACGACAAUAUCGAUCACUUUAUGUCUAUAUCGUUGUUAAUUUACCUUUUUUUUUUAGCCACAUUAUUUGAAAAUUGAUGCAAACUUUACCAACAUCUUGGUACCAUUUUAAAAUAUUAGAGUUAUUUGAUUAAAAAAAUAAAAUAAUCUCGAUAACUUGUUUAUAAAAUAAAUAUCUUUUAACAUUUAGACUAUUCUCACGCAUGCUUUAAAAUUGUAAAGAUAUUCAUAAAGUGGAACUUUAGACUUAAUCAAUAUCGAUCACUUUAUGUCUCUAUUGUUGUUAUAUUUUUUUUUUACAACAUUAUUUGAAAAUUGAUGCAAACUUUACCAACAUCCUAAUACCAUUUUAAAAUAUUAGAGUUAUUUGAUUAAAAAAAUAAAAUAAUCCCGACAACUUGUUUAUAAAAUAAAUAUCUUUUAAUAUUUAGACUAUUUUCACCAUGCUUUAAAAUCAUAAAGAUAUUUAUAUUCAUAAAGUGGAACUUUAGACUUAAACAUGAUAAUAGUUUUUUUACAAUAUUAUAAUUAUUUUAUCGUUUUAAUUAAGCCCUUUAUCAUACAUAUAAAUGUAAAUUAAUGCUAAAUUUUUAAAGCAACGUAUAACCUUUUACAUCUUUUUUUAAGAUGGUGCGAAAAUCCUAUGAAAAAUAAUAAAAGUCGAUGCAUAAGAAGAUUGUUUUGAUAAUUCAAUAGAAAAAUUCUUUUAAAAUGAUAUUAAAAAAUACCCAUAGAGCCUUUAUUAAAAAAAUCAAUUAUUUUCAUAAUAAAAAUUAUAAUUUUUUAUUAUGUAUUAUUAUUUUUAAGUAUCUUUAUUACAAAUACUUUUUUUGAGUUUAUGAGAGGAAUCAACAGGUUGGUACAAGCUUAGGCGUCCUCGUACAUGUUCCCGCUGUGCAAGGUUUUUGUCUUGUUUCGAGCUAGUCGGAAUUUACGUGUUUGAUAACGUUUUGUCCUAUUUUUGUAACGCUUUAAAGGGCGGCCCACCGUUGGAACAGUUCAAGCCAUCCAAAUCAGCCCGGAGGGUUAUGGCGACGUGGCAUGACGCCUACCACCUUAGUUCACAUGAACCCUAUGAUCGUACUACCCUCACAUGACAUCUGUGAUUCUUCACCUCCAAACCCUCUUUAACUUGGUAAUGUAUUCAAAGCUUCAUCAAAUCAUAGCGAUUAGCGACCCUCUUCCACCCUAAUUUUAUAAUAAAAAAUAAAUCUUAGUGGACAUUAAAGUAGUAUUUUGUGGGGGGAAAGAAAAACUCUAUGGGCGUAUCCACUAAAUACGAGCCAAGUAUAAGAGUUAUCACCAUGGAAUCAAAUUAUGAAGCAUUGACAUUUUAAUUGUAUUCAGAUUUGAGGAGGGCACCGCGGCACCAGCUGGCCCAGUGUAGUCUGCUAGCCUACCCGCCAUAAUGACCAAAUUAAUAAAGUAAAAAGGAUUACAGGGAUAUUCCCAACUUUAUUCUGGGUCUGAGCUGGAACUUGGGAGUUAUCACGAUCAACGGGAAAGAUGGUGGGUAGGGGACGAGGAUUGAGGGCUCCAUAUUCACAUCAGUGAAAAACGAAAUGUAUUGAGACAAGUCUUCUAAGGAUUUUCUAGCGUAUUAUAUGGUUUAAAUGAUUAUAAAUCUGUAGUUACUGGUAAAGAGUAGAGAGUGAAGACGAAAGACGUUGAGUGAAAAGGAAGGAGGAGAGGGGAUGGGGCCAUCUUACCGUGUCGGGGAGGAUCCAUAAAAGGACUACGUUCCCUGAAUCUGUAGGCAUCAUGCCUCGCCUAACGGGUUAGUCAAAAUACAGUGAUGUGUGUGAGUUGGGGGCCUCACUCCUCAUUUCUUUCCUUCUUUUCACCCCCACCCCCACUUUUUUUUUUUUUUUUUCGAAUUUUUCUUUGUCCUUUUCUCUCACUUGCGCACGCGGGAGAAGGACCACAAACUAGACAAUUCCUCUGCUCACGUGACCCCGAGUUUUUAAAUAUUUGCCUAUUUGGAAAAUAGUCAUGAAUCAUGAUCGUUAACAAACAAUCUUCACUUUAUUUAUUUAAGAUCUAUUUUUUGGAGCUCUAGUUUAGUUUAUUAUUAUUAUUAUUAUUAUUAUUAUUAUUAUUAUUAUUAUUUAGUAACUCCUCUUAUAUUAAUGAAAAAGAGAGGAGGAAUCCAAACUUGUUUAUUCUUCCUCUUUUAAGGUGUUUGUUUUUUUUAUUUUAUUUUUAUGCUUCAUAUGUCUUCAAUUUCUUAGCAUUUGUCUUAUAUUUCUUCUUAUCCGAUUCAUUAUUGCAUCCUUGGUCAAUCUUUCACGAGGAGUGCCUACUUUUUUCCUUUUUAUUAUUUAAUUCACUUUAUCUUUAUAUUUUCCUUUUACACUUUAUUUCCAAUUCAAAACGUGUCAAAAAAAAAAAUUGGUAACAAAAAAAAAAAAAAAAAUCAAUUGUAAUGAUUCUUAUAUAAUUUUAUUUAAUUUUUAUUAAACAAUAAAGAAAUUAAAAAUAUAUAAAUUUUUAAAUAAUUAUUAUAGUCUUUCAUUUUUGUGUAUAAUUUCUUUUGCAAGAAAUAGUGUAGGCUUUCCACGGUCUAAAGGAAAUGGAAUAUCAAAUGAGAAGGUAAUAAUAAUAAAGUGAGUUAUAGAUACUAAUCAAACUAAUCCACUAAUGAAUUAUUUAUUUUUAUUUCACAUGGACAAAUCCUAAAAGUUGGAGUUCUAAUUUACUUUUAUGUUAAGCUUUUUUAAGUAAAAAUCUUUUAUUAUUAUAAUUUAUAGACAAAAAGAAACCCAUUAAUGUGAUGGAUAAAAAAUUUCAAUUUAAAAAAAAAAAAAUUAAAGUUGCUAAAUUUUUGUAUUUAUUAUUUCAAACUCAUUUAAAUAAUUUAAAAAUAUGUCUUCAAUUAAUUUUAAUGAAACAAAGCAUGAUUUUUUUUUAAUUUUUUUUUCUUUACCAAAUAAAGCAUUAUUAUAAUACGUUGAUUAAAUUUUCAUCAUGUCUCUCAAGAUUUGGAUUAAAUAUACUUAGUUGUCAUAAAUUUGAAAUUUUAUUUAAUGUAUUUUUUAUUUUAAAUUAAAAAGAUGAAUGCAAAUAAAAAAAAUAUGUAUAUUUUAUAAAAUUUUAAAUUAAACGAAGGAUACGUGUAUUUAACCAAGGUGAAUGAAAUUAAUCCAAAUACUUUUUGGUAACUUGCAAAAUAUCUUGACGAAAUCAUUAUGGCAGGCAUCGUACAAGCUCAACCCUUGUCGCCUUGCUAGAAAUAGAGAAACAAAAAGACCCCCAAAUUGGGUUGCAUCCUAAAUAUGAAGAAGUGGUAACAAAGGAAGAAAAAAUGCUGUGUUAUUGAAUAGUUAAUACAUUGAACAUGAUAUGUUACAUAGAGAGCCAGAUUAAUCCUAGUGGAAUUCCACUGUCACGAUGGUAACCUAGGGUUAUGUUUGGUUAUUGAAAAUACCAAGAAAAGAAAAAAAAAUAUAAAGGAAAAUAAUUUUUUCAUUUUUGAUUGUCUUAUAAAAGAUAUAAAAAAAAAACAAAUAUAAUUAAAACUAAUUAAAAAUUUAGGUAUUUUUAAAUUAUUUAAUUUUUAUAUUAAUGAGCGAAAAUAAAUAAAAUAAGUUUAAAAUAACAAAAAAAAUAAUUUACCGAUUUUUAAUCUAUAUUUUAUUUUACUUUUUCUUUGUAUUUUUUUUUUCUUAUAUUUUCCCUCAAAUUUUCUGAAUCAAACAUAGCAAAAAAGGAGCUACCCCUUUCGAAAGAAACUCCCAAGAAUUUCAAAGAAACCUGCUGAGAUAAUGAAUGAGGGAUCACUGUCGGUAAACAGUAUCCAUUCUUUUGGGAGGACUUUCAAACUGAGAAGUUGUUUUCAUGACUUGGAAACAAAAUUUUGAGCUCUAAGGGGGUCUGUAUUUGGGCCCUAAAAUUCAAUCCAUCAAUCUGAAAAAUGCUUAGGAUAAUGAUUUGAUUUAGCCACAAUCACUAAACAAAUUCCAGAGGAAAAUUUCGCUACUCAUAGGUGGCUGAUUCUCAUAAAAAGACAUCGUGGUAGGGUGUCUCAAGUGCAGGCUCACCAUCAACUUGCUGCCCUUUUUAGAUUAUUGUAAAAUGAUUUCACAUGAAGCCCAAUGCAAAACUUUGAAAGAAAAGGUUGGUGGAGACGUGAAGAAUAUGUAACCCAUAGGCCAUAACUAGUACCGAAGAUUAUUGAACAAACAUUCAAGGUUUUUGUAUAGACGAAACUGAAAAGAAUGUGUACCAGACUCAGGCGUUCAGAUCAGAUGAUGCCGUAAUGUGGAUUGUGGAGGAGCAUUGUGCAGACAGAUAAUGAGAUUCUGAAAGCGAGGCCACUGAUGGGCCCUUGGAAGGGGGGCGUGCCUUCAAAAUUAUAUAUAUAUAUAUAUAUAUGUCAUUGAAAAUUGGAAGCAACUUUUCUUCUUAAGUUAUUUUAAUCGAAGAAGAAACAAAAAGUUAAAAACAUACAUUAUUCUUCCUUCUUACGAGGUUUCCGGGUCUAAAUUACUAUGGUCUCUGCAACUGGCGUCGUUUUCUCUCCCCUCUCUCUAUUUUCCCUUUAUUUUUUCACUUUUAGAAAGAAGCAUCCCAUCAAGAAUCUACUACAACCCUACGCUUCCAUUUUGAUUUAGAAAGUUAAAAAUAAGUUUAAGUUAAAAAAAAAUAUUUUCUUAUAUAAUUAUUUAAACUUAUUUCUUUUCCUUUUUAUAUAAAGAAACAAAUAUUUUGCAAAUAAAUAAAUUUCUAAUUAUUUUCAUUAACAUAAUAAUAAUAUUUUUCAUAUGACUUUAAUCACAAUUUUUUUUACCACUUGUCCAAGGCGGUGAGAGGUGAUAAAAUGUAUUAAAAAAACGAUUAAAUUGCAUUAGGUAUAGAAGUUUUGUGCUUCAAUUAUCACUUAUAAAAAUAAAAUAAAAAUAGUCAAAUUUGAGUGUGCAAGUUGGUAUUCGUAUGUAGAAGGAAUUGGGGGAUUUGGGGGUCCUAACAAAUUUGAUAUGAUUGAUGGAAGGAAAUGAUUAUUAUAGGAUAAAGUCCGAAUGAAACGCUGACGAGGGGGGAAAAACAACAGUGGCAAUGCACUAUCCACAGAUCCAUGAUUGAUUUAUGUUAGCAAUAAUGAAUUAUUUUGACUUUGAUAACCUUGGUUAAGAGAAUUUGGUCUUGUUAUUAUCAUUUUUUCAAAAAAAAAAAGUGUAGGUAACUAGGUAGUUGAUUUAUUAGAAUUUAGAAAUGAGGAUCCCCUCCUCCUGCAAGAGCCGUGACAGACAUGCCUGCUUUCUUGCCAGAUUAUACCAAUGUGCCCAAAUAAUCCCCCAUCUAUCAUCUCUGCACCCUGGAACACGUCACUCCCUCCUUUGAGCAAUAAAAUAUCUCUUUUAUUUUCUUUUGAACCACUCUUCUAUUUCUUUGUACCAGACUGGACCCAUUUAAAUUCUUCGCUACGCUGUUCCCAAGGACUACGAGAAUCAAAAUAGCAAAAUUCUUGAAUCAUUUUAAUGGGUUCAGAAACCACAUGUUUCUCUAGAUCAUAAGAGGAAAAUCUUUUUGGAUGGUGUUUGUGUUGUGUUGUGUUCAAUAUUAAAUACUCAAUUAAAUAAGCUAAAUCAAAUAUCACAUGAAAAAUAAUCAAAUUAAAAAUAGGGAGAAUUAUGUUUUGAGGGUAGAUGGACCCCAAAUUAACAAAAGGUUCAUGUAACUCUUCAAAUUGAGCCCAGACCCAAUGAAAAUAUGGAAAUUGAGUUGAAGUAUAUCAUCAUUCAGUAUUUCCAAAAAUGUCCUUUGUUGAUUUUGAGAAAAAAAUUAAUAUUUUUGAAAAAUAUUUUUAUGUAAUUUAAUAUUUUUUUAAAUACUUUUAUUUAAUUUAAUAUUUUUAAAAAAUAAAUUUAUUUAAUUUAAUAUUUUAAAAAAUAUUUAAUUUAAUAUAUUUUUUAAAUACUUUAAUUUAAUUUAAUAUUUUUGAAAAAAAUUUUAAUUUAAUAUUUUUGAAAAAAAAAUUAUUUAAUUUAAUAUUUUUUAAAACUAUUUUUAUUUAAUUUAGUAUUUUUGAAAAAAAAUUAUUUAACUUAAUUUUAUAAAAUAUUUUAUAUGUGUUCUUAAAGGGUAUAUUUGUCCGUUACUAUUUCAUAUCCUUCAACUCAAUUUAAAGAGUUAUAUGGACCUUUUGUUAAUUUGGGGACCCAUCUACCCUCAAAAGAUAAUUCUCCCUUAAAAAUAUAAAUUUAAAUAUGACAUAAUUAUUAAAUAUGUUAGAUCUUGUAUGAGUUUAUAAGAUUUAUGUUUCAAAAUAACAUGUUUAUAAUUCAUCUAUUGAUUUAUAAUCAAAUUUUAAAUAAAUUAAAGUUAUUCAAGUUAAUAAAUAUGAUUUAUGUUAUAAAGACUAACUAAAAAAUAAUUUAUUAAUUAAACGGAUCCUGGUCAAUAAAAAUUUGAUUUAAAUACGAUCAUACUUAAUCAAAACUUAGGUCAAAUUGUAUUGAUAAAUUACAUCAAAACCUUGUUGUGUUCAAUAUUUUAUAUUAAACUAUUUUUUAAUAAAAUUAUUUUUAUAAAUAUAAUAUUACAUCAUUUGGAGAAACAAAAUAGUAUUAUAUUGAUUUUACAUAUAAAGCAACCAGUUAACCCCUCAUUAUUUUGAUCCAUUUCACAUCCAUAUCAUUCUCAUAAUUUUUUUAUAAUAUAUUAACAUGAUGGACGGUAAUUGAGGGUAGAAAAAAAAGAUGAGAAGAAUAAAAUAAUGUGAAUCCUCUCUAAAUGUUACAUCUUCUGACAAAUGAAGUCUAUAGAAAUGUGUAAAAAAAAAAAAAACACUUAAUUGUGAGGUUCACUUGAUUUAGCAAAAAAUUAAUAUUUUAUUUGUUGUGUGAUUUAAAAAUAAUAUUUUAUUUUUAAAAAUAAAAAAUUAUUUUUAAAGUUUUUUAACACUAUUUUACUAUUGUUCUUUGAAAUAAUUUUUAAAAUUAAAAUGAAAUAACUAAUAAUUUUUAGAUAAUAAAUUAAAGUUGUUUUUAUUAGAUUUUAAAAAUAAAAGAAAAAUAUAAAACCAUUUGAUCAAAUUUUUUUAAACUUAUUUUUAAAAGGUUUUUUUUUUUUUUUUUUUUUUUCUAUCCUAAGUUAAAAGAUAAAAAAUAAUUUUUAAAGAUAGGUUACGAGCAAAUGCCACAAACUUUUUUCUUCUCUUUCCCUUGUUCGGAUAGAAGUGAAAAAUAUCCUCCCAUGGAUCGACAUUACGUGAGCCAUCACCAUUCCCCAACUGCAAUUCAACCGCCAAAGCUGAGGUGUCAUUAUUAGUUUGAACAAAAGUCAGCAUUGUCCACGUGGUGACAAGCGGAACUGACCCAACUUGCAAGGCAAAAAAAUAAAUAAAAUAAAAUGAAAAAAUCAGAUCACCAUUAUGACGUCAGUCCAAUUGCUGACCUGGCCGCCGUCCCCCAUUUGACCCACGUGUUCAUUUAACCCAUUCGCCGUAUGCCGUGGCUCCCCACCCAUAUGGCCAUAUCUGCCAUUUAUUUUAUCCGUUGCCUCCAUUCGGUUUUUGGAUUUUACCCAUUCGCCCUCGUCUAUUCCCAUUUCCGUAUUUGCCCACCAAGGAAAUUCAAUUCCCAUGCUUUUGUUUUACAUUCAAAUCCUCCCCCCUCUAUAUAAAGGAGGGAGUAGGGCUUGAAAGUUUCUCAAGCCAACAUGGACUGUUGAGAGUGAAAGACAGAGGAGCCACAAACAAAUAUCACUCACUCAAACCAAAGCCAAAACCAAUACCGAAUUCAAUUCAAAUGACUUCUUUCUCUCUCAUCAAUUCCCUGAAUUCCGAUUCCGAUUUCAAUUUGUUAUCGGAUUCUUUUUCCUGGGAAAACUCCCUACCUUUCAAUGAAAACGACUCCCAGGAGAUGCUCCUCCUGGGCAUGCUGGCCAGCUCCACUCAGGAAACCUCAGAAACAGUUUCUUUGAAUCGAGUGAAGGAGGAAGAAGUGACUUCCCAGGAAAAUCCCGAGAAGGAGAAGUCAUACAGAGGCGUUAGGAGGCGGCCAUGGGGGAAAUUCGCAGCAGAAAUAAGGGACUCGACCAGGCAUGGCAUAAGGGUGUGGCUGGGAACAUUUGACAGUGCAGAGGCAGCUGCUCUGGCCUAUGAUCAAGCUGCUUUUGCGAUGCGGGGCCCUGCGGCAGUCCUCAAUUUCCCGGUGGAAAGAGUGAAGGAAUCGAUGCAGGAGAUCAAGUGCAUCUUGGAGGAGGGGGGCUCACCAGUGGUGGCCCUCAAGAAGAGGCACUCUAUGCGGAGAAAAAGUCCUUGCAAGAAACAUAAAAGUGAAGAGGUGAGGUUAGAAAAUGUGGUAGUGCUGGAGGAUUUGGGUACUGAAUACUUGGAACAGCUCCUCACUUUCUCUGAGACCUCUAGUCCUUGAUCAUCAUCAUCCAUCACCUGGAUAGCUUCUUCUCUUUGCUCUGUUUCUUACUUUUCUCUCUCUCUCUCUCUCUCUCUCUCUUUUUUUUUUAUGUAAUUUUUCUUAAUGUAUUUUUGGAGAUGGCGGGGGUGUAGUGGUGGCAAUUAUCCAUCUAGAAUUUUUCAAAAGAUAUGUUCUUUUGUUUCUUUGUAUAAAGUUGAAAAGUGGGGAUCAAUUGUGAUGGUGCUCUAUGUUCAUCCACCCAAUUUAUAUAAUCAAGGUGAUUAAUGUUUUUUGAUAUCAACAAUUUGUGAAUGACAUAGAGAGAGAGAGAGAGAGAGACCUUAUUUUCUACACUCAUUACGGUGGUUUCCAUUUGGGGAAGGAAAAGGAAAUGGCUAAGAAUGUUACCAAAAGAAGUGGGGUGGCUUUCAUAUGCGUGGUGGCAUACUUGCAUACAAACUUUUCAAUUGUGUUCUGCAUGCCACUCGGGUCAAUUUCAUUUCUUUUACUCCUAGUAGCCUAAUUGGAUUUCCUUUUUCUCAUGAGACAUCAAAUAAAUUUCAUUUUUUUAUAUUUAAAUAGUUAGGUAAGUUUGAUAGUGAGUUAUAUUUUAUACAUUAAUUCAUCUUUUAGAAUGUUGUCUACAAUAUAAACAGUGUAAUUAAUUUCAUCAUUACAGAACAGUCAUCUUAUAAAAUAACAUAAAAAUUAUUGGAUCACUUGUAUGGCACCACUGAUUUGGACUUGGUAUGGCUCUGUUUGGCUUCAUAGAAAAAAUUUGGACCCAAUUUGAAUGUCUUGCAUAAAAAGAGAUACGUCCCACUUUGAAUGAUAUUGAAGAAAAAAAUUUCUGAUGAAGAAUAUAUUGUUGGCAGGGUCAUGCAGGCCAAUAGGGAAACGAUAAAUUCAGAAGAAUGAGUCCAAACCAGUGGGCUUGAAAAUUAAGAAGAGAAUUGCUGUAUAAAACAAUCAUUUCUUAAUCGAGUUCACUUUCUGAAUAAUCGUCACUUUGAGAAUGCAUACUUAGGAAGAUGAUGAUCCUUAAUGGGAAUAAUCAAAGGCAUCAAAAAAUUGUUCUGGAACAAUUCUUGAUUGUCUCCAGUAAAAUUCAAAGUCAAAAGUCAAAAGUCCAGUCGGUCAACACCAAACCAGGCCAGUCCAAAAGACAUUAAUUUGCAAUCUAGAAUCUAUGAUGAGGUGGCGAAAUCAAACCUUGGCUUUUCACCAGGGAAUGGUACUCUGAAUUUGGUCAGUUCACUGUUUCGAGUGAAUAGGGUGUAGUAAUUAGUAAAUCAUAUUUUAGAUUUGUGUCACAAGUUACAAGGGAUAUGGGCUGACGUUCAAUUUUGGCGACAAUUUGUGGGCCCGUAUAUUUGUUGAGAUGUGGAAAUUGGGUGUGUGCUUUUUUCUGCUACCACAUAAAUAUAUUUCUUUGAAUUGAAGAGUGUUUCAGACCAUUUUUUUUCAAGUCACAAAUGGACAACUGAUUGAGAUUGUAUUGGUGAGAGUAGGAGUUUAUUUUGGGCUGGUUGAGCGAAGUUGAAAGUCGAGUUGGACCUAACCCUUGAAUUCAGCAGACUACAGUCCGAUCCUGUAUUUUGGAUUUAGGGAACCUUCUUUCCCAGAAGCUUCGUCUGGGUUUUAAAGUCUAAAUGUGGCUACUCUUAAACAUUGGAGAAAGGAUGAGCGUUCACAAGCAAAUGGGUAAUUGUGGAUGGUUCAAGGACCUGGCCAGCUGGUCUUCAAGUUUGGAUGCCGGUUUGGGCCUGAGAGAGUCUUUGCAAAGUGACUUCACUUCAGCCUAUGAGAUCAAGAUAUCAUGGUGAUGUCCGAUCACUUAGGUUUCAUUUUCACCUCGGAUUACCGUUACCAUGUUCAUGAAUAAAAAUAAAUAAAUAAAUGAAGCCUUAUAGAGAAAUUAAUGAAGUGAGCUAUACAAGCAACUGGGCCAGGAGCCUACAAGGCAGAAAUUCCCUGCCCUAGACUAGGCCGAAUAAAUUAGAUGAAUGAAUUGGGGAAACCUGGGCCAGCCACACAUCCUCCUGAAGGCUGAUGUCGAACUCGCUUACGAGGAAUGGACAUGGGAGAUUGGGCUGGGACCAAAUAACCAAUUGACAGCCCUAUCCUUGUGGCAAGACGUCAGUAAAAUGGUUCAUUCUGAUUUUACGCUGCCAUUCAAUUUAAUUUUAAUUUUUGUUUAAAGCGAUGUACAAAUUGAAUGGUGUCUAGUCACUUAAAGAGUGGUUCAUAAUACACUUAAUUUAAACAAAAAAGAAAUUAUUAGAUAGGGGAUUCUCCAAUAAAAACCACCCCAUCUUGUCAGCAAGUCCGGAAACUUCCUUCACUUAGGGCGUAUUUGUUUUUUUAACUUUAAUAUUAAAGAAAGUUGGUUAAACCUUAUGACACUUUUAUAUUAUUUUAUGAAUUUUUUUUAAUUUUUAUUUUAAUGGAAUUUUAACUUUAAUACAAGUUGGAGUAAUUCUUAUCUUAAAAACAAAUCAAAAUUACUUUAAUUUUAUAUAGAAAUAAACUUACAGUAAAUUUACCAUGAAAAUUUCUAAGUCAAAUACACCAUAAGUGCUAGUAUUUUAUAAUAUUUAGAAACAUGUUAAAUUAUUAUUAUUAUUUUUUAAAAUUAUUAGUUUUCAUAUUAGUUUUAGGGAAACUUGUGCUUUAGGUCUUUUAUUUGCAAAUAAUAUGGUUUUCAAAUCCUAAGAAUAGAAAAUAUGAGAAUCAACUGUUAAUGUGGAAAAUAAUAUCAAUUUUGUGCAAUCUCUAUUGACUCAUUUUUUUGUGCCUAGAUUGCCUUCACCCACUUCCAUGUCAACAACCACAUUAAUAGAUUGUUUUUUUUUUAUAAAACAAAUAAUUAUUAUGUUUAAAAUUUUGGGGAAACUCUCUAUCUCUCUUACUUCUUCACUACAUCCGAGACCCAUCUUCCUUAAACGUUUGCCUCUCAUUUUGCCCUAACCCCAAAUCUCAUAAAUUUCUCAUUUUCUUGCCUCAUUUGAAAUAUGAAGAUGACCGAUUCUCAAACAUCUCUGUCUCUCUCUUCACGUUUUGACCAGUCUAAUUGGAAACCCAUUUUCCAAAAACCUUCUUUCUUUCAUUUUGCCCUAACCCCACUAUCUCCCUCUUCAAGACCUAAUCACCCAAACUCGAUAUCUAUCUUCCCAAAACCUUCAAGCAAACUGAACUAGACCCAUAUCUUCUUUUUUCAUCAUCAAAGGUGAAAUUUUUUUAAGGCUUUUGGAAACCGAAUUGGAGCUUUCCCUUCUUCUGGGAUUAAUCAUUCGCAAGUGAGUUUUCCAUUUAAGGCUUUGUUUGGCUGUUGAAAUCUUGGGAUCAAAGGUCUUUUAUUUUCAGGUUUCUUGUAUUUUGCUUUAUUUUCUUGUAUAUAACAAUAAUCAUUGUAACAUAUGCUAGUAGUUACCCUUGGUGCAACUUUACAUUUCCAAAUACCCUAAAGUCCAAAGCUUUUAAUUCCCUUUUCAAAGCUUUCAACUUUGAAAGCAGACUAAACCAUAAGAACUAUGAAACUUAUAUCUCUAUCACCACUAAUUAAGCAUGUCUAUGAAUCCUUCCACUUUAAGUCACUUAUUCUCAAACCAAGAAGGGCUCCUCUCAUUCUCACCCCACCUCAUCUAAAUGAGGGAAAUGAUCAAUUGCAGCCAUGCUUUGCACCAAAUUAGAGAAGUGAUCCUCCCAAUCAUCCAUUACCAAAAAUUGAUCAUGCUGAUGAGAUCAUAAGAGUCUAUUCGGAACUCCCAGUUUACUUGCCUCUUAUCUCAGGAUCCUCCAUUACCCCCUGUCUUUCCAACAUCAAAUCAACUUGCAAACAAUUCCUUUGUAGAUAAAAUGUUUUUAAUAUUGCAAAAGGGGACUUAUCAUAAUGGUUGAAUCGAUUUAUUUGAUAUAAUCACUCAAAUUCAAGCUUAAAAUUGAUCAUAAUAAAAUGUUUUUAAUAUUGUUAAAAGGAGAUUAUAAUGGUUUUAUUUGAUAUCAUUACUAAAAUUCAAGCUUUCAAACAUGCUCUACAAAGAAGUUCUAAAAGACUACAAGAAAGAGUUUCCACUAAAGAAAAACAAUGAAACCAUUUCUACUAAAGACAAACAAUGAAACCACAGAUGCUUUGUGAAAUAUGUACCCGCACAAUCCAACAAACUUUAGAAAUUCACAAACACUACCUAGAAUUUUUGCUGACCAGCAAAAAAUUUAUGCAAUUUAAUUCUUAUUGUUAUUAUUAUUUUCAAUGUGAACAAAUAUGAUUGAAUUAUGAAGUAUUUGGCCAGAAGAGGAUCUUGCCUAAUUAUAGUCAUUAAACAACCAUUUAUACCAUAGCCUCUAGACUUUAAAAAGUUUAUAAAACUCAAGGGCUUCCACCCAAUUUCUAGAUAUCUCCAUAACAUUCUUCUGACUAUUAGAAAGCAAUUACCACUUUAAUUUUUCAUUUCAUGAGUGUUCAAUUCAGAAAAAGACCAGGAUCGAACUUGCGAUCAUGCAGUCGAAAAUCCACCUGUGCAUGAAACUAUUGCCUCACGAUUGCAAACUCAAGUUGGAGUCCAGUAACAACUCUAGGUUUGCUGAUGUGCUCCAUUUGAAAUAAAGGAACUAAAGAAUACUUUAUAAAGAUUAAUUACCUUCAUAUUUUAGGUUGGGGUUAAGGCAAAAUGUGAUAGAUUGAGAGGAAGAAAAUAUAUCUUGUUCAGGAAGCCAAUAUUUUGGAGUUCACCUUUCCAUUCGAGUCCACUCUGCUAUAGCAAAAUCAGAGUCACAACUAUGCCUCUUUAAGCUAUCCUUUAAUUGGAUGAAUUGCAGAUUUGGUUGCUGAGAAAGUGGAUAAGAAAGAAAAAUGCAUACUGUAGCUUGAGAUUAAGAGUUUGUUUUCUAAAAUGAGAGAAAGGGAAAGAGAAAAAAUGCAUAUUGUAGCUUGAGAUUAAGGGUUUGUUUUCUAAAAUGAGAGAAAGGGGAAGAGAAAUGUUCGACAACUUUGAGAUGACAAAUUUUUAGAUUUGGAAAAUUUGAGAUGAGUCUCAGGUUUUUUUUUUUUUUUUUUUGUCUUUGUCUUUGUUUUUUUUUUUUUUUUUUGUUUUUUUCCCAAAAACAACCUGUUAAUGUGGUUGUUGACAUAGAAGUGGGUGAGGGCAAAAUGGGCAUAGAAAAAAGAGUCAACACAAAGUGCACAAAACCCAUAUUAUUUUCCACAUUAAUGACUGAUUCUCAUAUUUCUUGUUCUUGGGAUUUGAAAACCAUAUUAUUUGCAAAUGGACCUCCCAAAGCACAGGUUUCCCUUAGUUUUAUGUCUCCAUCUACAUUUUACAUAUAAAUAGAUUAUUUUAUAAAAUUUGUUUUGUAGAUAUAUUAGUUAAUAAUUAUAUAAUUAAUGAUAUAGAAAACAUAUAAAAAUCAUAUUUAAAAAAGAUAAUUACAUAUUCCUCAACAAUCCAUCCCAAGAAUUCGAGGUUGAGUUGAAAACAUGUAGAGUCUUUGAUGUUAUUAUAAUCAUAUCCAACACAUAUGAUUAUUGUUUAUGAGAUAUUAUUAGAAAGUUUGUCUUAAAAUAAUUGAUUUAUUACCCACCUUUAGCAAAUGCCCAUUUUUGCGUCUUUCAAAAUUUUCAUUUUUUUUUUGUUUAAAAGAAGUAUUGUAAAGAAUGAUGAAAUAAGAAAUUUGUUGAGAAAGUGUGAGUAAAUAAUUUUACAUAAAAAGAGAUUUAAUACUUGAUAAAUAAAAUAAUAAAAUCAUGAUUUCUAGUUGUAUAGGGCCGGGUGGAUGGAGUGGCUAAGAUGUAAUUCUUGAAAUAGAGGAGACAACAUCAAUGUAUAAAAGUUUAACAGAGAAGGAAAGUGUGUUUGAAUGACUUUAUUUUCUUCAUUUAAAGUUUUGACGAUGAGUGUUUAUACAAGAUAAAUUUUCAAAUGAUAGGACUCCUAUUUACAUGGAGUUUGUGAUAUACUAUGAUUAUACAAAUUUAAAAUUCAAACAGAUUCAUGAGUUGAUAGGAGUCUGCUCAAUACGCCCCUUCAAAAUGGUGGGAGAUAGCACACCAAUCUUGACUCGAAGGGCCUAAACUCGUGCAGAAGAUGAGGGCUUUGUUAGAGCAUCGACAAGUUGAUCCGUGGUUGACAUAUGGGACACCUUGAGCUCACCUGAUUAAACCUUGUUUCAAACAAAAUGAAAAUCAAUCGCCGAUGUGUUUCAUGGAGAGUGAAACAUGGGAUUUGCACAAAGAUAUGUUGCACCCACGUUAUCACAAGAGAUAGGAGGUGGUGAUAAAUUUGAAACACUAAGUUUUGAGAGAAGAGAAUUAACCCAAAGAACCUUUGAGGCUGUAGAGGCCACGACGUGAUAUUUCGCUUCAGUGGAAGAGCGUGCUAUGAACUUUUGUUUCCUCGAUGACCAAUACACAAGAUUGUGACCAAGAAAAACAAUGGGAGCAUUGGUGGAGGAUCUGACAUAAGGAUUCCUUGCCCAUUCAACAUUCGAAUAUGCAUGUAGAUUGAUGGGCGAUUUCUUAUGCAAGAACAGACCAUGCACCAUUGUGCCGACUAAGUAUCUAAGCAAUCUUUUAACACAAGACCAAUGUGUUGAUGUUGGAUGGUGCAUAAAUUGAGAUAAUUUAUUCAUCAAGAAGGUGAUGUCAGGGCUAGUAAGAGAGAAGUAUUGAAGGCUUCCAACAAUUGACAUAUAUUUAGUGGGACCAGGAAAAGAGGUGUCAUCACACAGAUUUGGAACAUUGUUGAGGAACAUCAAUGAUUGAACUGGUUUGGUAGCCACCAUUUGUGUUUUCUUAAGAAGCUCUCGAAUGUACUUGAGAUAAAAAUAAUCCUUUGGAAGUAUGUAUCAUUUCAACACCAAGAAUAAAAGAUGAAGUCCUGAGAUCCUUAAUGGAGAAUUUGACUGCUAAUUGAGAGAUCACGCGAGCACGAAAAACAUUAUUGUUACUUGUUAAAAUAAGAUCAUCAAUAUAAAUAAGUAGGUAAACAAUGAGACCACUCUUUUUAAAAAUGAAGAGGGAUGUCUCGGUUUAGGAGUUGACGAAGGCUAUUGAGAGGAGAAAUUGGCAAAGUUCAUGAUACCAUGAUCGUGGAGCUUGUUUAAAGCCAUAAAAAGCCUUACAAAGUUGGCAAAUGUGAUGAUGUGUGUAUUCGUGAACCCAGGAGGUUGAAUCAUGUAAACAUCUUCAUGAAGUGUCCUAUGCUAGAAUGCAUUAUUAAUGUCCAAUUCAUGAGUUGAUAGGAGUCUGCUCAAUACAAUGUGGGAGUGUGAUUUCAAAAUUAGGGUAAUUUCGAAAUGGAUUUUGUAUUCACAAGUUGAAUUUCAAAAUUAUUUUGAAAUGGUCUUUUAACUUUAAGCAGUUGUGUUCAAAAGGUCAUAACUUCUUCGUUUCAAUUUUGAUUUACACAUUGUUUAAAACAUUGGACUCUUUACUUCCCGAGCUUCAAAACGAUAUAUAGUAUGCUCAAAAAUGACAUCAGGAUUGGUUCAAAUUUCAUCUUGAUAUUAGAGUACAUGUUGUGAUUAGAUUUUGAGUUCCAAAUUUCCAUGUAAACUUGAUUGCAUUUGCUUCAAACCUCCUUCAUUAUGGUUGCUUGCCCUCUAUCUCACUUUGCAACAUUUGUUACUAGUAUUUUAUGUCCAUGACUUACUCAUUUCAACCUUUCUUGGAUUCUUCAUGGUUCACAAAUUAUGGAUUCUUCAUGGUUCACAAAUUGAGUCUUUCAAUUAUGCAUGUUUAACUCCUAUUUCCUUGGUUGAUAAUGACUUUUACACUUAUCAUUUUCUUUUAUUCUUUAAACCUGAAUUUAGACUUACAAAAAAAAGUUAGAUCCAUAACUAGGGUCUUAGCAUCAAUUUGAGUUAAGUUGGAUGAUUUGAAAAUUUUAUAUUACAUAAAUCAUAUCAUACAUGUGCCAUUGGAGUGCACAUUUUGGCUCUAAUCAUGUUCCAACCCAUUGUUUUACUCUUGCAUGAAGUAUGUGGCCAUUGAUUUUAAUUUUAUUUGCGAUUAGGUUCAAAAUGGUGCUUUUGUGUUGCUCAUGUGUCAUCAGAAGAUCAACUAAUGGAUUCUCUAACAAAACUACUACAUCAUAGUCAUUUUUUUUUUUCUUAAGACCAAGAUUGAGAUCUCCAAUCGGAGCCAACUCCAUCUUGGGGGCAUGUUAGUGAAAGAUAAAAUUUAUCUUUAAUUUAAAUAUUAAUAUUUAUCAGUUAUUAGUUUUAAUUAGAGUAAAAGAUAGAGUUUAAAUUGGAGUAGGAGAUAAACUUGUGUUUGAACUAGAAUAGAAGAUAAAGUAUAAAGAUUUAUGUUUGAAUUAGAAUAAAAUAUAAAGUUUGAAUUAGAGUAGAAGAUAAACUUGUUCUUUAUUUGUAUAUAAAUAUUCAUCAAUUCUUGAGAAGAAGAUUAUUUCAUAGUUUUUCUAUCUUCUUUUUUCUUCAUACAUAUCUGCAAGAAAUUGAAGAUUUCAAGUAAAAUAUUUUCUGUUUUAAAUAGUGAAAAAAGCUAGAAAUUCACUUUGUUAUCUCUUGGGGUAAAUUGACAAGGUUUAACGUUAAGAAGGUGAAUUAUUUUUUCAGAAAAACUGAAGUAGCUAGGAUAUCUGGCCAGUUGUGAUCGAUAAAAAAGUUGUAAAAUCUCUCAUAUACUAAACAGGUUUUGGAUGUUGGUAUGGUAAAUCCAUCUGCAGUCAUUCGUCAUCUCAUCUAGUGAGAUGUUUGGGAGGUGGUGACCGCCGGAUUGGGUUUCAUUUGGUUAAAUCUGUCAGUGGGUUGGCUACUACCCGAGCCUCUUGCUUUGGGGGAGGUGGGUUCUAGAUAUAAUGUUCAAACCAUUUUAGUUAUCAUAUGCAUGACAUGUAAGCAUAAUCUCUUUAUCACUUCUUCAAUGGGAGUUCAUGGUUAGGAAUUGACUUCUUUUCUUCUGGGAUGCUUGGCAUGUAAUGGACAAAGUUACUUUUAUAUCGAUCGAAUUUCUAGUAUUAUAGUGAAGACUUACCCUUUUGACAUUUUAUAUCGAAUUAUAGAAGAUGAAAGGGACAUACAUGCAAUCGACUGACGCUUUAGUGAAUAUGCUGAAAAUAUGCUGAUGCUGUGGAGAUCGUAUGAGGACAGAGGAAAAAGAUAGAAAUGGAUAUAUAAUUAGACCUAGGUUUUUAUUAAAUGAGAUGGGGAACAUAGAGUGAGGGAAAAUCAAAAUUUUUGGCUGCAGUUCACAUUGGUGAUAUUUUGGAUUGACAAAGACUAACGACUUUUCUAUUUUUCUUUUCGGCCUGACUGGAUAGUUGGACAUGGACAAUACAGAAUCCACAGAAGGAUUGUUGGGACCGCUGAAAAUUAGCUAGAAGAAGCUGAGGAAGUAGUCUACGUAGUCAAAUACCAAACACAAAGAAAGAAAGAAAUGGAUAUCAUGGAUGCCUAGAGUUAUACUCCUAAUACCGUCACAGGUAUUUUUCUUUCCUCCUUUUUUUUUCUACGAUAAUUAGAGCAUUUCUCCUCCUCCUCCUCCUCCUCCCCCCACCCCACCACCAAAAAAUAAAAAAAUAAAUUAUUGCAAGUAACACUUCAAAUAUUAAUUUAUACAUUCUAAAGUAUAUAUUCAUGAAAUAACUUGAGUAUCAUACAUUAGUUCUCAAAAAAAAAAAAAAAAAAAAAAAAAAAUUACUGGAAGAGAAAAGUUUAAGAAAACAUAAAAAUAUUCAACUACUAUUUUAAAGAGAAAAUUUAAUUUUUACACUAUAAAUUUGAAGAGAACUUUUACAUGCAUCUUAUAUAAACUACCAUUUUUUGCUAAAAGGCUUAAAUUUGUCAAAAAUACCCCUUAGGUGCUUAACGUUCUGGUCAUAAUAUAAUUGGCAUCUUUUCUCAAACAUAAGGCCUGUGUGUGGGAACAAGAUUUAAUGUUAAUGAGCUUCGCCACCGACAUUUAGUUCCAGAAAUCAUUAUUUUAAUAGAGUGGGCUCAAUUUACAACUUUAAUUAAACUCUAACCAACUGCAUUGUGAAAUGAAUAUGUUUCUUUCGUGGUGAAUCCAAUGAGUUGGGAGUCAAACUUUGCUUCAUUGUGUAUAGAUGAAAUGUUAAGACUCCAUGUAACCUCAAACAUUUCCGCAAUNNNNNNNNNNNNNNNNNNNNNNNNNNNNNNNNNNNNNNNNNNNNNNNNNNNNNNNNNNNNNNNNNNNNNNNNNNNNNNNNNNNNNNNNNNNNNNNNNNNNUUCUUUCGUGGUGAAUCCAAUGAGUUGGAGUCAAACUUGCUUCAUUGUGUAUAGAUGAAAUGUUAAGACUCCAUGUAACUCAAACAUUUCCGCAAUGAGCGGGAGUUCUAAAUUUAAUAAUUGAAAUUGUCAGUGGAACCAGUGGACAAGAGUUGGUUUGUGGUUGACAAACUUAUCCGUUUGAUCUUUACUUGAACAGUUCCAGUGUGUGGAUGGGUACUGAUGAAGUGUGCGCAUUUAUUUUGAGAAGCCUGCUUGUUCGCAUAGAUUUUAACGACAUGAACAUUGUGGUAAGGUUAGAGAGUAAUGCGAAUGUAGGAGCUUAUAUUAGAAAUGACACAAACACGUAAAUAGAAGUAAUCUAUAUAUGAUAUUACUCAUGGACUACAAGCAAAGAAGUACAAUACAUGGAGUAAGUGAUGAAAUGAGCAUUCCUCACUACUACUGCUUGACUGAUGGAACAUGAUGCACGAGAUAGCAUAAGUAGUAGUAGGAAGCAGCUCUUAUUUGUGGCGUCGGUAUACAUCAUACUAGGUAGAUGGUUCAAUUGGCAUGGAUGGGUGGUGGAGCCUUGAAGUGCUUGUGAUGGGGAGCCCACGGCUUCUUCUCAGGAGUUGGUGGCUUCUUGUAUGGAGUUGAUGGAGGUGUUUCUACUGGAGGGUGGCCAGGGUAGUGACCCUGGGGUGGUGAAGGUUCUUUUGUCGGUGGUGGCCUCACUAUUAUUGGCGGUAGAGUUGGUGGCUUGGGCGUUGGCGGUGGUCUCACUACUCUUGGGGGUAGAGUUGGUGUCUUGUGUUUUGGUGGUGGAGGUGGCUUAACAGGAGUUGGUGGCUUGUAUUCUGGGGGUGGUUUCUCCACCGGAGGUGGCUUAUAAACUGGAGUUGGUGGCUUGUAUUCUGGGGGUGGCUUCUCCACUGGUGGUGGCCUGUAAACAGGGGUUGGUGGCUUAUAUUCUGGGGGAGGCUUCUCCACUGGAGGCGACUUAUAAACAGGGGUUGGUGGCUUGUAUUCCGGGGGUGGCUUCUCUACGGGAGGUGGCCUGUAAACAGGGGUUGGUGGCUUCUCCACCGGAGGUGGCUUAUAAACGGGGGUUGGUGGCUUGUAUUCUGGGGGUGGUUUCCCCAGUGGUGGAGACUUGUAAACAGGAAGAGGUGGUUUGUGCUCAUAUGGGGGUGGCUUGUGGUCAUUAGCAAGUGAGGGAGUGGUGAGGACCACCAAUCCAAGGAACAACACGAGUGAGCAAGCAGAAGACAU